rnacentral:lncRNA from 1 species
UCCUUCUUUUCUUUUCUUCUUCUCCUUGUCAGUGAGCUCCAUGGAAGCCGGACAAUGAGCUCCGAGGUGGCAGGCUAGCGUUGGAUCAUGGGGCGUGGUGGUGCACGGUCACGGUGUUGGUGUCGGUGGAUAAGGGCAUCUAUGGCUCCAUCAAUGAUGGGAGGGGGUCGACGACGAUGGUCUCGCCUGCUCCCGAUUCCAAAGAGGAUGGGGCUCGCCAGAUUCAGGUUGGCGCCCUCCUUGUCACACGAGCUCCGCUCAUCCUCAUCGCAUCACCGAGGCAAGAGCAAGAGGAGCCCUUAACCUGGAUCACCGACUGCUCCAAAGCCUUCCAGGUGCGAUCGAUCAAGGCGGCAAUGGAUGCUCGCCAACCACCUCCUUUUUACGAUGGGGAUUGGGGGGGGCAGCCUUCGCUGGAGCUCACCAGUCAGCCUCCUCGCAGCGGACCCAUCGAUGGGGAGAAGAAAGAAAAGAAGGAACAAAAUAAAUGUCACGACGAUGGCACGGUUCCAAUUUUAUUUCAGUUUCACACAACCAAUAUCGCGAAUAGUAUGUCACAGUUGAUGUAUUCGGUGCCAGUUCAUUUAAAAAGUGGCAAAGACGGUCUCACAUCAGUGCCGGAUUUUCCACUCCUAGUACGCAUGUGUCUCUAUGUACAGAGGGUCGAAAGUCUAGUGGGCGAAUUUUCCUUCAUAUGUAAACUUUCCACAUAUAGACGUUCUAUAUAUAUAUAAACUAGACUUUAUAUAUAUAAACUUUCUAUAUAUAGACUUUCUAUAUAAAAUUUUUGUGUGGAAUGUUUAUAUACAUAACUAUAUAUAAAAAGUUACCACGAAAAUAAUUCAUAUAUGUUUCUACAUAUAAACUUUAUGUAGAAUUUAUAUGCAACAAAAAGUUUAGUUUAGAAAUUUCGAUAGAGAUUAAAAAUUGCCUAUCAAAACAGGAUACUUUUGGAAAAAACAGAAUCCAAUAUAAAAAAAACUCGUAACAGAUGGUGGAUUUGUUUUUUCAACCGAAACUCAGCGAUGUUGUAGUCUAUACCUACAAUUUCAAAACUUCAGAGAUGCAUCCUGGCCGUUAAUCACACUCUGGCCCACUGGAUUUUUCACAUUUUGGUCCUUUUGAAAAACUUAUUUUGUUAAUAGACCUCUGGAAAAACUUAUCCCAGAAAUAGUUCUUUUUGGGGCGCCAGAGUAGCUGGCGCCAUUGUCUAACGGGACGGCGCCAGCCUCUUUGGCACCGUCAUCCUGCCACCGUGGCACACGCGAGCCGACGUGGCAGGAGGAGGGCGCCAACAUGGUUGGCGCCGCCCUAGGGAGGAGGGCGCCAGCCAUGCUGGCGCCGCCCCCCUCCCCCCACGGCCCACCCCUCACCUCCAUUCCUGUUUCUCUAUAUAGAGUUGCAAUAUUUUUAUUUUUGAUUUAUUUUUUCGGAUGUUUUUUCGCACUUAGGAUCACGAUACAACCAACUACUAGAGAAAAAAAAUUAAACUCGAACGGAAUAUACCAUUUAGCUAGAUAUACGAAAAUAGUAUACCACUUAGCCUACUUUGCACCUUCAUCAAAAUUAUACCAUAACUCCUUUAGCAUGUUAAACAUAAUGCACUCUACCACUAUAUGAAAUUACUUAAUCUCUAACCACAUGAAAUGAUGUAGUUUUUUAUUUUUAUUUUAUUUUUUUGAUAUUUUUUUCACACUUCGGAGAAUACAGGAACCAACCGUAGAAAAAAUAAACUAAACGGAUAAAAUAUGUGACUUCUAGAAUUUUCCAAAGCUCUCCCGAAAAGUCAUUCGGGUGUCAUUUAUUAAAAUAGGCGUAACUUUCUCAUACGGACUCGAAAUCAGGCAAAUAAUAUAUCCACGGACAUCUACAGAAAAAGUUACAUCCGAUUUUCCCCUACUUUGUCGGGUUCGGCGAUAUUAAAACCUCCAAAUUCUGCUUGCAAAAUUGUGUUUUCGAGGAGAGAAGUUUUUCGGUAGAGCUUUGGAAAAUUCCACAUGCCACAUAUUUCGUCCGUUUGAGUUUAUUUUUUAUAUGGUUGGUUCUUAUGAGUUCCUAAGUGUGAAAAAAAUAUCAAAAAACUAAAAUAAAAAUAAAAAAGUUGCACAUCUCUCUCCUCUGCACUAGUUCGGAAAGAGAGGAGAGGGGAGGAAAAAUUUUACAGGUCACAUAUUACGUCUAUUUGAGUUCAUUUUUCCUAUGGUUAGUUCUUGUGUGUCCCUAAGCGUGAAAUAAAUAUUAAAUAAAUAAAAGAAAAAUAAAAAAUUUCGGGGGGGGGGGGGCGCCAGCCACUCUGGCGCGCUCCCCCUAGCCACCUCAGCAUCGCCCCGCCACAUCGGCAGGGGACGGCGCCAGAGUGGCUGGCGCAAAAAGACCAUUUCUGGGAUAAGUUUUUCCAAGCGUCUAUUUGCGAAAUAAUUUUUUCAAAAAGACCAAAAUGUGAAAAAUCCAGCGGGCCCAGAGGUCAUGGACUCGUCAACCAGACUUGAGUGCUUGCCUCCUUGUUGGUAAAGGAUGCAACGGUACGAGCCUAUAGAACAUAUGCUGUUCUAACUCCAAUAGUCAAUCGUGAUAUCCAGAAACCCGUUGGAAAUGGGGAGCAGUUUUAGGAAUACGUACAAUGACCAUUGACCAGACUGGAAGGAGACAACCAGAGAAGAAGAAUAAAAUAGUAAAAUGAAGUUAUAUGAUGGAAUAAAAUCAAACACGAGGUGAUUUUUUUUCUUUUUUUGCUUUAGUGGAAUCGCUAGGAAAUGAAAAACAUAGGUCAAGCCAACGGCGAGCUCCGAACGACAACGAAAAAAAAAAUAAUUGAGGUAUAUGCAUCUCCUAGUUAUUCAUUUUCGAAUACAUUGGCAUGCGUACAUGCACACACAGAUGUACACGCAAUACCACGCUCACACACUCACGACAUCCCUAAACACGCGCUCAAAUAGACCGAAACCAACUUGUUAUUAUGGUUUAUAAAAUAAUUUUCUUACCAAUUUCUACUUACUACUUAAAAAACCAAAUAGGGAACGGUCUUAUAGGUGCAAGUUCAGUUAAAACCAUUAAGUAUUUAUCAGACGUUUUGUGUCGAACUGUGCCCUUUUGACGAGAUAAAAAUAAAAUUUGACACCUAUAACCACUCAUAUAAGUUGGUUCAUAAUAAAAAUCGGUAGUAAUAGUUAUAGGUGCUGAUUCUUAUAAUAAACCGGCAUUGAUAUGUAGGACAUCAGUAACGGUUUUCAAAUUGAACCGGCACUUGUGUAGAUCGAGCCGAGCUGAGAGCCAUCCAGAAUCUUUUAAGUCUAUUCUCUUAUCUCUUUCCCUCGAUCUUAUCCACUCAAACCCCUUUCCCUCUUUCCCCUUUUUCGGUUCCUUCUCUACCGCUCGUCUCCACAAUCUACGCCCAUCUCCUCCCCUCUCUCGCCACCUCACUCCUCUCUCGCAUGGGACAUGCAGCAGAGGCUGCUCCUCCAUCCCCAGCAUGGCUCCUAUUAUCUUGGGGCAACACUCCCUCUCCCUGGAGUGGCGGCAGCGGCGGCUACUCUCCUCCCCGCGUGGCAGCAAAGAUAACAGCUGCUCAACUUUCCCGAUGGCAGCUCCCCCUCCACCUCCAUGGAAUGGCGGCAACGGUUGCUCCCCUACCACCCCGACGCGGCACCCUCCCCCCCUCCUCCUUGGUGGUGGUGCCUACUCCCCCUCCCUGGAGUGGCGGCAGCGGCAACCGGUGCAAGGCUUAGCGCUAGCGCUCAUCCCCUCUCCCAGGUGCAUCGCUUAGAUCUGGCGCAUGUAAUAGCUGUUCUGGUUGAUUUUUGUUAUUGUACUUGUGUUGAUCUGAUGAUGAUUUGUGGAUUAUAUUUUAUUUAUUGAUCUGACGAUAAUUUGUGGAUUGUAUGAUCCAAGAUUUGAGCAUAAAACUUGUGGAUUAAAAUUUGGUUCAUUUUUGACCUAUGGACUGAACAGUGUUGUGUGUUUAUGUGUUACCUGUGAAUUAAAAUUUGUUCUUGUGGAUUGGGAGCCGGGACCGAGGUCGGCGACAGUUCGAAGUAUCGACUUGAUGAUGCGUUUUCUUUUUUUGGCUUGUGGAAUCAACAUGGUUAUCAGCUCUCUCAUCAGUGUUGCUUAGUGCUGCCGGUUUGGAAAUCUGGCACAUAUGGGGUUUUCCCAACCGAAACCAAAAUGUAUUUAUGUAAGUGAUUAUUAGUAGUAAGGUAAAUUUUGCUACAGUACAUCCAAAUAUAUUAGCCACGUAAGCCACGCGUUGCGUGGCUCUUAAAGACCCGUUUGAAAAAUGUGUAUAUAUGGCUCAGGCCAACGGUGCCCUACUAUUGAUAUCUCGUUGAUGGGCAAAUAAAUGGUGACACUAUAGCUGGUAGGUUUACAGAUAUCAAUCAGCAGUUUUGUCUAAAAUCCAAUGGCACUGUAAAUUGAAAAUCAACAUACAAACAGCUUCGGUAACACAUUCUGAAAGUAACAGAAGCAUAAAGGAAGUAGUAUUAUAUUAAUUAGUUCGCUUCAUAAUAUAAGAUGCAACUUAAGUAUGAGGAAUCAGUCAAAGGAUAACGUUGAUUACAACUUUAACUAAUAAUCUGCAAUCAUAUAUUUUCUCAGCGAUCUAAAGUGGUAAGUAAAACCAUCCUUAUUUUCAUUCGUCAUUUGAUCAGCCUCAAGUGAUGUGCACUUGAAUAUUUAGUAUUUAGCAGCAUAAAUUCAGACAUCAUUUUAGCCCUUGGAAAAGCAUAUAUGUAAACUGCUGAAACCCUGUCUAUGAACAAAACUAUUUUUACUGUAAUCAUAAAUGAAUACAGUAAUUCACUCUCCAUGGACAAAUUCAGCAUGAUCAUAAAUGAACAUAGUAGCUUAGCUUAUUUUUAUGGAAGAACAUCAAUCAAUUGUUGAAGAAAAUAGUUGAGCUUCAACUCCUUAAAUUAGUAUAGCAUGUAGGAUACAGCAACAAAAUCUAGCAUUUACCGAAAGAAGUGUAAUCCUAAGUUUUCAUGCUGUUGGUGGCAUGUUACGGUUAGGGAAAUACACCCAGGAUCAUUUGUGCAAACAUCAAUUGAUGCUAGCGACCCAAUCCCUCCAAAGAUAUUGCUGGGAUAUUUUGGUGUGCUUGCUUGUAAUUUAUGAAAUUAAUAUUCAGAAUUAAUUGAAAAUUUUAUAUACACUUCAAUGCAUCAUCUAUUGUGAGCUGAGAAGUUAAUUUGAGCAACAUGUAUUGGUCAAUUUUAAUUUAUCUCUAGUUAAAGUCUAUUAGUUACAUCCAGAAAACAGAAAUUUCUAAUUAAAUUGAAAGCCAUUGGCUUUAAUCUUAUUUGGCUUAAAGGGUAACCUUCCCUGGUUUCUGUUCAAGCAAUUUAUCAAGCACGAAACGUGCAAAAACUAUAUAUCAAGAUGGGACAACUAACCAAAUGUUUGCAUACUGGCUUUGGCCAUCUUUACACACCGUACUUUAACACCGACUCGCAACGAAUUACCUCAGAUUCUAACAUGCUAUUCCAGCUGGUACGCAAGCUUUACUGGGCUCCAGCCUCCAAUGCUGCCCAUGUCGCAUCUUGAAGGGCGAUGGCCAACCACGCCUCGAGCCCGUCGUCACACGCAUGUCGCCAAGAAGGAGAGCAAGGGCAACGCAUGAUGUGGAGGGGGAAGCCGAUGCCUUUGGCUUGGAGGUGGGGGUCGACUUCGAUGGCUAUCUCCGAUCUGCCAUCGUGGAUCUAAUUUUACAGCACCAAACUCGCCUAGAGGCAGCGGCAAUAGUUGGGAGGAGGCAUGGCUAAGGCGCUCGAGCUCAUUGGCGAGGUGGUGCAGGAUCCAGUGCGCCUAUUCUGGGACGCGGUCGAAACUGGUAAUCCACUUCAUGGUGGCGGUGGGGAGGUUGGUGGGCUGGCGGCGGCGGUGUGGCCAUGUGCGGUGAAGAGACAAGGAGGGGAACAUUCUCUCCUUUUUUUUUUUGGUUACCCAGGGACGUGGAAGGAUGUAUUUGAAAAAGAGCUUUCUCGAAGGAUCCAGAAGAGAUUUUGCAAAUAGAGAGAUCUUACGGAUGAUAAUGUCCGGAGGAUGUAUCGAACGGUCCUUGAUUUAUUGAUGACGUGGCCCAAUCAGAUUGCAAGAAACUUUAGUUCUUUCAAUACUUUAGAUGUGUAAUUUAAUUAGCGGUAGACAUCAGAAAAACAUGUCACGGUUGAAAAACACAAAAAAAAUUGGUAAUUUGCUGGAAGGUACUUUCGGCUCAAUUGAAGAGAUAAUUUCUUAGGAAUGAUGAGAACACUUCUAAGACCACAUACUUCAAAUAUAACGUUAAAGGAAAAAUUUUGAAAUUAUACAACUAUAAAUUUACCUCAUCCCAACUACAUCCUUAGCAUACACCAUGUUCCAUAUUCACUCUAGUCUCAGCUCAGAAGCUUUUGGCCCUAGGAGCAUUCUCAUCUUUUUUAAAGAAAAACUUCUAUCCAAUUGAGUCGAAAGCAUCAUCUCGCAACUUUUAGUUGUAAAACGUUUUUCCGAUUUUUACUAGCAAAUUACAUAAAAUUGAAGUGUCCUAUAAUAAAAGUUACUUAAUAAUUAUUAAAUAAACCAACCUAAUACAUGAUAUAAUACAUCGUACUACUAUGAAUCCGAGAAUAUACCGGAUGGCCUCGCAAUUAAGAUUUUAUCGAGAUACUUAGUAUUGAUGCAAAUAAAUUCUCCUCAAAACAAUGGGCGCCUGUAUCAGAGUCAUUCUGGCACAAUGUACCAUGUCUGCACACGGGCACGUGUGUGCGUGCGUCCUCACAGGCUGCAACGUACGUGUACUUGGCGUGUUCUACGACGGCACGUACGACGUACGCAAGGGGAUGACGAGCAUACAUGCACGCAUAAACUUGACUCCAAAUUAACUACUGCACCUUGUUUUUUUCCCAAAUGGAUAGAGAAUAAUACUAGGAAAUCGCAAUACGCAGCAACUUGGAUUGGAUAUUCUCUUCAGUUUGAAAGCACGAGCUCGAGCUUAGCGUGCCCGACACUAUAAAACCCCCUGGUGUGAGGGCUCUUUUUCCAGCAAGAACACCAAGUCACAAGCCACUCCACAGUAGCUAGUGUUGUGAGGUUGAACCACCCCAGCAAAUCAUCUGACAGGUUUGUUCUUUUGAACUCUCCGGUCUUUUUAGCUGCACAGGGACGAGGGAUGCAGAGCAGAUGAAUAAUUAACGGUCCAGUUCAUACUUAUAUAUAAUAUAUCCGUAUUUUAAUACAGAAGUUGUCAUUCACCUAUGAUAUAACGUUUAUUUAUCUUAUGUAUUUAUUUUUUAAAUAGUUAUGUAUUUAUUUUUUAAAUAGCUACAGGGAUGGCGGAUUCAUAUAGGAAUACUUAAUAUUUUUUAACAAUUAAACUAAUGACAACAAAAUAAAUGAAACUUGUUUGAUUUUUUUUAUUAACCCGAAUGAUCAAACAUUAUAUAAAAAGUGAAAUAGGGAACUUUCCCACGUGAUUUUGUGGGACUAGUUGAACUGGGUUUGAUAUGCAACUCUUUGCUCAUUUUUCGUAUAUAUACUUGAUAUACAAUAGAUACAAGUACAAUUGAAUUGAAUAUACGUUUAAUAUGUAACUCUUUGCUAAUUUUUCAUAUAUAUACUUGAUAUACAAUAGAUACGAUUACUAUUAUAUUGAAUUGAAUAUACAAUGCUUAUAUUUAUAUAAAUACAAUUGUAUUUUUAUACAACUAUACUAUCUAUACGCAUAAGUUAAUAUGAUAAUUUGUAGGCCUCCAGAGUUGACGUGUUGUUUUGUUUUCGAGCAAUGUUUUAGGCUCAAAUUCUUCAAUGACUAUUUAGGUGAGAUGAAAGAUACGAGAGGAUAUCUUUUCGAGGGAUAUAUGAAAUAAACUUUCUCUCUGUUUUUUUUAUAACUCUUAUUUAUAUCUCAAUUUUUCAAGUUAUAUAUUUUUUGGACUGUGUAGGCGACCGAAGAAACAAGAAAAUGGCAUCGAUCGAAAGUGAGAGGAAUGAGGAAGUCGUUGGGCAGCUCAGUUCGGAGCAGAAAGCACGCUUAGAUGAGGUCAUGAAGCAAGCUGCGCUGUCGUUGCAGUCUGACGAACUUCUUAACAAGGCAGCGGCAGGCAAAUUACAGGCCGGCAAUUACUAUUUUUACGUACAAGGUGAUUUGUACAAUUAUACAAAGGGACCCCUGACUACUACUACGGAUGUACAGCAACAAUAUUCAGGAUCCGUUCUCAUUGACUAUACCAACCCUCUUAAGCCCAGCAGCAACAAUAAGGCCGGCACCGGCAGUUUUACCAUGGCAGGCGACGGCAGUGUUGAGGCAGCUGUGGUAUAUUUUGGCAAGAACGACAAAGGUGAUCAGGACUGUGCAUGGCUCAUUGGUUUUAACAUAAACACAACGACUAAACCCGAAGUACGUGCUAAAAAAAAUUCAUUGCCUUGCUCUAUAUAUAUAUAUAUAUAUAAAAUCAAAGGUAAUUAAUAUUUUUUUUUCUUUGAUUUUAGAAGUUGCAGGUUUAUGUGUUCUGCGGCCCUUUAAUUAAUUCUGUGAUUAAUUUCAUCAACCCCAACUGGGCAGAAAUUAAAACAAAGAUAGAACGCGGUGGGCAAGUCGGUUUUUACAAGGACGACCAGACUGUUACAAAUGUCUAUGCCGGCGUUGCUGCUACCGACCCCAGUAUGCCAGGCAGGUAUUCUGUUUCUAUAGCCUUCGAUCUGUGAAAUACGCACUUUCAUCGAUAAUAAUGUACUAGCUAGAUCCAGCGGAUCAUUAGCUAAUGUGUGUGCUCUAUAUAUGUGUGCUACUAUGUAUGACCAAGGGCAUUCGCUUGUUCCCCUGUAAUUAAGAACAUGCAAGGUACUGUCUUGUGUGUUUCUGUGUGUAAUGUUUACAUGUACUACACCCCUAUGAUAAAUAAAACUGCCCUUCUAUACGUAAAUCAUCUCUGUUCUGUAUAAAGCAUCAUGCUUCUGGUACGGUGACUUACACCGUAUUUAUUCGUAAGUUACACGUACUGUCGGCUAUCACUGCCCCUUCUUUUCAUCCAGCAAAUGCGCAUGUCGGCAUGUAUAGAACAGUGAUAGUGUUGGCUAUCUCACUGCUGGUGGUUGCUCCACUGGCACUAUUUCCUCUCCAGCAGACAGAAAAACAGGAAAGAAGAAAAAGGAAAAAUGCAACUUUGAAAAACAAUCCGUACUUGCUUGCAACGUUUGACCACUCGUCUUAUUUAAAUUUUUUUUCAAAUAUAAAAAAUAAAAAGUUGUACUUAAAGUACUGUAGACAAUAAAGUAAGUCACAAAUAAAAUAAAUAAUAAUUUCAAAAAAUUUUGAAUAAGACGAGUGGUCAAACGUUACAAGCGAAAAAACUAAAAUCCCUUAUAUUAUGGGACGAAGGGAGUAACAUACUAUAAUCCACUAAUAUCCAGUUUACAACUCAACGAAUGCACACAUCCAUCCAUGCACAUCUAAAACAUAAACAUGCACAUCAAGAUCAGAAGUACACAUCAAGAACAGAAACAUCCACUACUCAUUGUCGAAUUGGAUCUAGCUAGGAGAGGGAGAGAUACCUAGAACAGCCGCCCAGCGUCGAGCAACUGCACACUACGCCAGAUCAGCGAUGGACCAAAAUUUCCCGUCACAGAAGAUAUUUUUGUGAUGGUUAUUCCAACCAUACUGUGGGUCUAUUUUUUAAUUGAUAGUGACUGUCAUUGAGUAAUUUCAAGACGUGUUUUUUUCAAUAAACAGGAGGAGAAACCUUACUGGGAUUUGAUUUUUUUUUAUACAAGAAAAGGGAUAACCAAACUGUACAAGAGAUGCGACAUAAAGGCAACAAAUGCCAUUUCAAAGCUUUUCAGGCAUUAAAACCGUUAUAAAACUGCUCCUGAAAGCAUAUCGAGAACCAAGCACGGAAGAAAUGUCAUAGGAGAUCUAAACAUGAUAAUGACAUCGAAGCUAGCACACGAUAUUUAUAAACGUGGUUCAACAGAAGUCUACAUCUCUAGAGCACUGAUUACGGACGCUCCUCUCCGAUCCAACAUAUUACAGCAUAUCAAAGUUAUAACAACUCUCGGCCGUAUGCCGGCCGCCUGUAGCCACUCCCUCUCACUAUGCUAAGUCGUCAUAUAUAGUUAUAACAAGUUCACCCUUUUAUUUAAAAGAGAUUCUAGGAUAAAGUCUAACUCUUACUCUCUACUCCUAUAUACCUAUUAUAAUUUUAAGUCCUAAACUGUAAGCGGCUCUAUACACAUAUUCAACGUAAACUCUAAAAAACCCCGCUUUUGACUAAUAUGCCACGGCAAACUGAAUUUAUUCCUGUGUAAACCUUCAUGUACCUUUCUGCCGCUCACAGCGAGCUGCUUGGACAAGCCUUCACUAGGCUCACCGUAAACAAGAGACUCCGUUAUCCCUAUAAUUUCAUCCUCUUGACUCCACCAUGUCUCAGUCGUCUUGCCAAGCGAAAUUGAAUUCCUUUUGAGCUAUAACAUCAUAAACUGCACGAAGACCAUGUUCACCUCCAUCUUCUGUGUUAAUUUAGCUUGAUCUAAUCCAUAACUAGGUAACACGCGUCAUCACCAAAUAGAUAAAUCAAACUCAUCAGACAUGAAGAAAACCUUUUUCUUUAUUUUGAACCAAGUUAAUAAAUCCAACUUUCACGCUUUUUUGCAUCCGUAGACCGAUUCCAUGAUAAUUUAAGAAAAUCACCGUUACCUUCAAUCACCCGAAUAAAUUAUCACCAUAGCGAUUGCUCUUUUUCUUCGGUGACGCGGUUUUCUUAUAUUACUGUCAUACUGACUUCGCAGAUUCUGCAUAUAUUAUGUUUAGUCAAUCAUAGCGUUGACUCCAUUAACGUAUUUGACCCUUUCUUUCCCAGGCCUAAUUAAUUUUUUCCUCCCUGCCCAUGAUUGCCAGUGCUUCGUCAAUAACUUAACACACCCCCUUGCAAUAUCACACGAAGAAAUUACCAUACAUGGCCACACUGAAUAUGUAGCACAUUGGACUAUAUGCUGGCGACGCGGUGGGCGUGGGCACGGCGCACGCUUUCGGCGUGGACGCACAACUGCGGGCGAUGGAGCGCUAGCACACGAGGGCGGUGGACUCAGAGCAGCGGUGCAAGGGCGAGCGACGGCGCCAAGGAGGCGGCGUAGUGAGCGCCGAUCACUCGGCUUCUCCUGGGCACGUGUCAGCGACGGAUGGAAUGGGCGGCGCCCGUUUGGGGCCGGAUAUCGACAUCGGCUACGGUGGCACGGAGGGCGUGAGCUCGGCACACCCUUUCGGCGUGGACGCGCGACCGCGGGAAGGCGAGGCUGUGCACCGGGCGUAGCGGGUGUUGGCGAGGCUGACGGCUUCGAGGAGAAGGGAAGGGCGAGCUAGCGCGUCCGUGUUUCGUCACGGUUAUAGAUGGCCAAAGGGCCCGUCCGACACGGCCCGGCCCAGGCACGGCUGGGCACGGCCCAGCAGCCAUCGGGCCGGCACGGCCCGUGCCGGCCCAUGGGCUGCACCUCCCGCCCAGGCACGGCCCACCAGCUGUCGGGCCGUGCUGUGCCAGCCCGAAGGUAUGGGUGGCCCAUCGGGUCUUUUUUAAAAUAAGUAUAUUUUUCAUCCCUCCUCUUUGGGCUAUUUCAUAUGUAUAGCUAAAAUAAGUCUAUUUUCGCCCCUCCUCUUUGGGCUGACAUAUGUAUAGCUAAAAUAAGUCUAUUUUCUGUCCCUCCUCUUUGGCUGACAUAUGUAUAGAUAAAAAAAAGUCUAUUUAGGUCCCUAUUCUUUCGUCCAUGGCAUAUAAUAUGUCUAUUUUUACUCCCCUAGCUGCCGGCCGAUCGUGCCGGGCCGGCACGGCCUAGUGGUCAGGCCGGGCGGGCACGGGCCCGAACGUGCUGUGCUUGGGCUGGGCCAAAAUACCGUGCCAUGGGCCGGGCCGUCGGGCUUCGGGCCUUUUGGCCAUCUAUAGUCACGGUGUAGCGCGACGCGGUGCGGCACGGUUUGGCACGCUGCUCGCCCGGUUCAACAUUUCGUCGAGCAGGUGGCGGGCGCGUGUGUUGGAUGCUUGGGAGGAGAAAGGAGGGGGUGAUUGGGCUGGUUUGGGCCGUCCUAGGUCCGCCGAGAAUGAAGGAGGGAGAUGGGCUGGCCUUGGUGCUGGGCUGAGAUGGAGAGAGGAAAGGACAGAUUCUAGGGCCCACAGGAAUAGUAAUAUUUCAUCAUUUUAGGAAUUUCAGAGUUUGAAUUUUGGAGAGUAUUUGUUGGAAUUGUAAAUGGACUGUAAAAGGGACGGUGGAUUUUAAUAAUCCUAGGAAUAUAUAGGUGGACUUUGGAUGAAAUAUUUGAGAUCUCUAAUGGCGAAACCUAAAAUUCAAAUAUGAAACAAAAUUUUGAAAAUAAAUUUUGUAUUUAAAAUAACUUUUAACGGCAACGAAAAUCAGGAUGUUACAAUAAACUUAGUUAAAUUUAUAGAAACUUGACUAAGAAAAAAUUCAAAUGACUUAUAAUAUGAAACGAAGUGAGUAGGAAGACUAUAGGAAUUUUGAGAUUAUGUAGGCUCCGUUUGGUACCACAUGUUCUCAACUUCUCCUCCUCGUUUUCCGCGUGCACGCUUUUCAAACUACUAAACGGUAUGUUUUUUUAAAAAGUUUCUAUACAAAAAUUGCUUUAAAAAAUCAUAUUAAUUCAUUUGCGAAAAAAUAGCAAAUACUUAAUUAAUCAUGUGCUAAUUGCUGCUCUGUUUUCUGUACCGGGGAGUGAGGGUUCCCGAACGCAGCCUUAGAUUGAGCAAGAGAAAAGGAGAUGUUACUUGGAAUUCUCUUAGAAAUCAAAUAACAUGAGGUUGGAGCACAAAUCACUAAAAAGAGGUAAGUGAUAUUGUUUAUUUUCAGAUUUAUUUUCGCAUUUGGGAGAAUUGUUUGAGGUAAUUGUUCGAGGUAUUAAAUCAAGUGAUAAAUUCACUGCAGCUUUCAUGUGAGUUUUGUGGGUUAAUUUAGGCUAAGACCAGUAAGGUUAAUUAGGAAAGGAUAGACCAACUAGUUCGCUCGCAACAACUACCUAUAUGUCAACAUUUCUGUCCAAAGAGAGAGAUGCAUGAGUCGUUGUCCGUUAUGAAAGAGUAAAGUGCAUGGACUGUUCUUAAACUUAUUGGGAUGUGUCGUCUAAGUCCUCUAAACUCUAAAAAUACAUAUCUAAAUCCCAUAACUUGUCAUAGUAUGUCAUAUAUGUUUCAAAUCGUCAUAGCCCUUCAAGAUCCUAUACGUGGCACUGAUGUGGUAUGCCACAUGGAUAUAACGUGACAUCAUUUUAAUUCACAAAUAAGAUCCAUUUAAAAAUUUUUCUGUUUCUUUUUUUCUUCUUUUCUUCUCCUUCUCUUUUUUCUUUUCUUCUCAUUUCUCUAUGACCCAAGCAGAAGAAAGGAAAAAAAAAUAAGAGUGAGACGAAAACGAAAAAGAAAAGAAGAAAUUACGAACGUAGUUGCUCGUUACUGAUACUGCAUCAAAUGCAAGCUACACACUACCAAACCAGGUAGAUCAUUGCCUCCCCUUCAAUCAGGGCCACUUCAGAUUGAAGUCAAACUCAUGUCAUCUACCUAUAGUACAGCUCAUUUUGUUGUGAAACAAGUUGAUUUGCUCUUUAUUAUUUGGUCGCAAUCUUCGAUGUCCCUUUUUUAUGUGUUUAUAGUUACAUCAUCAGUUUGCUGUUCUACACCGUACUUUUUACUGUGUUUGCAAUUCAUCAUCAGUCAUGUAAUGUGUGUAAUGUAAUACACGCGCCCGGGACAAACAGAGGAUGCUCUGUUCCAUAAUUAGCACCAAGGAAUGCAACGGGGAUUCGAUUUUAUGAUAAGGAUAUAUACUAAUAAUUAGUUCUUGAUGAGUGACCAGCAAAUGGAUCGAUCAUCACCAGACAGAAAUGUACUCUAGCUAGGCACUCCACACACGUAGCCAAUAGCUAACUCAAACGCCAAUGCUGUGCAAUAACUUCUCUACUGUCGAUGCAUGAUUAACGGGCAUGACGACCUUGGUUACUCUAAUUCCUAUAUAUAUCCUAAUUGCAGGUUCUUUAGACAUGCAUGGUGUCUUGCAAGUUCCUGGUGCGUCCUAAACCUAUGAUCACACACCGGCAUACCAUAACCAGCCUCUUCGUAUUUAUACUCAUUUGCAAUUGCAAUCGCUUAUCGGAAGCACUACUUAGAAAAAAAACAUUUUUCCUAACAUGGAGGUCUUUUUUUUAGGCGGACAGGAUCCUUGGAGUCAAAUGACCACCUAUAAAAAUAUAAAUCGGGAUGAAGUUCAUGGACCACUUAAGCGGCGCCUACGAAAAUGAUUUUCGUAAGCGGACCAUCUAAACGGCGCCUGCACCUUAUAUGGUCCGCCUACAAAAAUCGUACCUACCAAAAAAACUUUAACACUUAUCUACUCCUCCAACCCCUUCCACCACUCAUUUCUCUAAACUUAUCUUCUCAACUCCCUCCCUCCACCGGCUUCUUAGCUCUCUCUCUCCCCCUCCCUCCCUCCACAGGCAGCGGCGUAGCGGGUGGACACGGCGGCAGUGGUGACGUGGUUCCUCGGCCUCCCCUCCUAGAUAUAUACACAUACACACGUGCGCGCGUCUAUAUAUAUGUAUGUAUGUAUGUAUGUAUGUAUGUAUGUAUGUGUGUGUGAAUGAAAAUGCAUAUUUGAGCUCGGGUACAUAUGUACCCACCAUCCCUGCCGUCCAACUACCUUGGAGAUUCGCGUGGGCACCGUCACACCAAGCAGGAGUGGGGAGUGCUUACCCAAUUGGCAGUCAGGCUUAAAGGGAGAACAGGAAGUAACAUGUACGUACGAUUGCAUGGGGACUGUGAGCAAAUCCCGGAAUUGUCCUUUGCUGCUGAGAGCAAACACCACUGCAGACCCACGACGAAGAAAAUGUCCGUAGGGCCCACACACAUUGAUGGCAAAAGCAGUCAAAAAAGAUAUUGGUGCAUUCACUACGAUUCAUGUCUGGCUUAUUUUAGAUCCUGAAAAAACUUUUCACUUUACUCUCCUAACAAAAUUUCUUUUCUUUUGUUUUCACUGUAGAGGUUUUUUUGUUGCGCUGAAAAUUUGGUAUAAUAAAGAUGCGUCCGCAACUUUCGCCCCAACGUUCCUUUUAGUUUUUUUUCAUUGUUUACAUAGUAUGAUAGCAUUUGGAAUUGAUUUAAAAUAAUGGAGGAUUACCGGCAACCAUUUUUUUAGAAAGAAAAUAUAAAUGUGAAAAAAAACACGUAAAUAACGUAAAGAAGAAAUACCAGCAUAACGGAGAGGAGGUAUUUACGUUAUUUACGUAAUUACAUAAAUAAUAGUAAACAUUUGACCGACAAACGCCAUGAAAAGUUCCAAAAUAUUUAAGAAUUUUUGUAAUUCCAAAAAUAUUGCAAAAUAUAUAGAUGGCAAUCUACGGUUCUAACAAAUUUCCAUUAAAAAUGCAACCUGUACAAAGAGAAAAACAACCUAUAAAUCUAGAGAAUGAAUUACAUACAAACUUAUAAAGCGGUGAUCUUUUUUACAAGGUCACUCUGUCAAAAACAACGAUCCGCCCAGACUUUAUGAUCUCGAUCAAACCGAGUUCUAUAUAAGAGCGUAGAAACGUCAAACCAGUUAGAAUGGGUAGGUACCCUCAUUGCUCAGUCUCCCAUAUGACCAAAUGAUGUAUAAUACAUGUGCAUGCAUUACUACUGCGUCGUCCGAAACCGUCAACCAAGUAUCUAGGGUAUAUGUGCUCGUGUACAAUUUCCCAUCUCCUAUAUAUAUAUAUAUAUUACUAUACACACACUUAUUAUAUAUGUUUGUGCUGCAGAUAAUCAUAGGUGGGACAUUUCAGAAUAAAAGCAGAAUACACGAACAACAUAUAAUUUAUCCCUCUGGUCAAAUAUAUUUUACGUUUGAGAUCUGAGUUUAGCUCUCCAAACAUGAUAUAAAUGGCUGGAGGGAGCAACUCAUAUAAACAUAUGUAAAUUAAAACAGAGCUUCCCUUCUAUAUAAUAUCCCCAUGCUAUUAACAAAUUACGGCAAGUGUGUAGCUCGUUGCUCCACCGCUGGGGCGUCAUUGUUGCUUGGGCAUGGCGGUUGGUCACACUGCCCGCGGGAUCUUACAGGAGGGCAAUCGGGAUUGUUUUGAGGGUCGUAGGUACCUGCACAGGUGACCGAAACGUUAGCUUUUCUUUUUCUCUUAUAUAAAAGUUACAUAUGCUAGUUAACAUGAUUGAAAAAUAUGAACUAAUAAUUUAGCGGACGGACAACUCUAAAUUUCAUAAUAUUCUUGACAUCUAUGAUCUGCAACAAAUUAACGUUUGGCGACGGAUUUAUGUCAUGGCUUAGUGAAAACCUAGUAUGAAGGUUCCCUUUGGGAUUUUCACCGGUUUCCAAAUGAAUCUAUUUUUAUUAUAUACUAAAAAUUCAUUAAACAACAUACAAAUGCUCCCACACCGCCACGUAGUAGACAUCCUACCAUCGCUUUUUAAGUCGUUACGUGGUACGUACUCUACUAAAUUAGAAAAAAUCAUAGAAAUUAUGAUAAAAGAAAACAUCCGAUCCGACCAUCGAUAUUUAAAUAUUUUUACUUAAAAUAGGUGGACCAUUACUUUAAACCAUUAGAUCUACUAGAGAUAACACAAAGGGUGGGCCAAUUGAAUUUAUUGCAAAAAGAUCUCUCCUCCCACUCCUACCGUACAUGUGCAUAUACAUAACUAUGUGAAACCCCGCGCAUUGUUACAGAAGUUUAUUAUGAUAACAUAAGUAAAAAAUAAGAGUUAAUUUUAUUUUGGACCAUGUUUUAUUGCCAAAGUUUUACUUUGGCCUAGGUAACUUGAACUUUGUUGUACAAUGGAUCAUCCCAAACCACAUGUUCAUAUAUAUAUAUAUAUAUAUAUAUAUAUAUAUAUAUAUAUAUAUAUAUAUAUAUAUAUAUAUAUAUAUAUAUAUGCAUAUCAUUGUCGAAGGAGAAGCUAGACAUGACUAGCGAAUAGAAUUAGGGUGGUCCAUUAUAUAACGAAGGUAAAGUUACCUACUCCACAGUGAAAAGAUUGGGUAUAGGAUGGUCCAAAACUAUUUGGCAUUACAAUCUCUUUUUCGUAUGCUGAUCUUUUGGAGCUAAGGUGUGGCAUGCUACAAUUCAUGUGACUAACAAAUCCUUAAAAUCAAAAGUUAGAUAAAUUUUAAGUAAGAAACUCCCACUUGUUAUUUGCAUAUAUAUUAAGUCUGUCACUCAACCACAAUCAAUAUAACCAACACUAUUCAACAUGUUUAAAUUCGAAAGGCAAAAGAAGUCACUAUUACUUACAACCCCGUCGCUCCAGGGUUGCAGCAGCCGGCCGUGGAGCUAGGAUGCUGGCCAUAAUAACAAGCAGGAUCACCAGCAACAAGGCUGAGACAGAGUAAUCUGAUCUUGUCGACAUUGCUGGCCUCCAAGCUAGCAAUCCCCUCUCUGCUUGAAGGCCUCCUGAACAACUUCCGACGCACAAGAACUGAAGCCGUCUCAUCGAUCGUCUUGUAUACUCCUAUAUAUAUUAAUUUGUGAAUAUAGGGCGGCUUUCUACAACGACUGAGCAAUCAAUUGGAAUUUUUAGUUUACAUUGACCGUGUGCUUUUCGCAACGAGGGGCCGAUGAUCCAGGGAAGCUUCCGUGCCCUGCACUGCAGGCCUCUGUGCCGUGGUUUUCUUUUGGGAAGUGACAUAAUGUUUUCACAUUUUCUUAAAUAAAAUACAUAAAUAUACUACAUCUAAAAACAUGUGAUGACCAGCAUUAGUACAACAUAUAUAUAUCUACUACCUUAAUCGUAGAAAAAUUACGGUCUAAAAUUGUCCUGCACAAUAAUAAGAAACAAAAGGUACAAAUCCAAACCGUGAAAGGUAUACGUGUACUCUUCACCACAGUAUCUAUGUUUAUUUUCACAUUGUGUAGGUCGAGUUUUAGACUUCAAUUUUUGUGGGAUCGAUGUUUGAUGUCAAUAUAGUUAGAGUUUUGUUAACUUUUUCGAUAACUAGAUCUAUACCUUAUUAUAUUGAAAAGGUAAAGAAGUCUUAUGAUUCCUCCUUUUUCUGUUGGUAGUCAAAAACCGAUGCUUCCCUUAUUCCCUUUCCUUCCCGGCGAUAAUAUCGUAGAUGGAGAAGUGUGCCAUAAAUUUCUACGAAACGAUGCAGACAUGAAGACCGGUGACUCAUGUAACGCGUCAAUACAAACUACAAUUAAGACGCUGUACGUACAGGAUUCUUACAGCAGGUACAAUAUAUAUAGUAGACUAUAAAUUAGCUAUAAAUAUAUUCUAAAAAGAUACUUCUUCCGUUUCACAAUGUAAGUCAUUUUAGCAUUUCUUAUAUUCAUAUUGAUGGUAAUGAAUCUACAUAGAUAUAUGUCUAGAUUCAUUAACAUCAAUAUGAAUAUGGAAAAUGCUAGAAUGACUUAUAUUGUGAAACGGAGGGAGUAAGAGAGAAGAGAGAAGAACAACGAGAUACAGAUUUGUAGCCAGCUACAGCACAUAUAUUAAUAUCAACGUAUAUAUGAUAUGUGUGACAAGGUAUUAAUAGUGUGAUAUAUGUUUCUAGGUAAUUAUUAGAUUGACUAUAUAGAUGAUUUAAAGCUAGUAGUUGGCUAUACCGUUAAACUUGCUCUUAUAAUAAUUUUGACCCUGCAGGGAAUCACUUUAUUUUCGGCAGAACUUUUUUUUUUUUAUAAAAAAACAUGAUCUAAACAAUUCAGUACUUCUCUAGAGAAUACCAUCAUGUAUGGCAAAGAAGCUCGAUAUUGUCUGGACUCCACGGCUAAAUGUCUGAGGAUGUACAUAUCUAUCUAUUUGUCUCAAUCUAUGGAGGGAACGUAUUCUAUUCAUAUAAGUAUUCUGGUGUAUAUAACGUGAACAUCAACUAAAAAAUUUUAUCAAAAAUUAUAAAAAUAAUUUUACAAUUACUUCCAAUAGUAUUGUAUUUAUAUGUAAAGUCUUAACCUCAAUUUUUUUUAUAUUUCAGCUGUAACAAAAUAAAAAAUUCUGACAGUGUCGAGAGUAUAAUUUUUUUUAGAAUUUUAUCAUUUUUGUUGUUUCAUAUAUAUAUCAAAAAUUGAAGAUGAGAUUUUACAUAAAUGUAAUACUACUAAAGUACAUAAUUUUUAUGAUAUUUUUAGGUGGUGUGCAUGAUGUGUAUAAGAUAAGCCUUGUGUAUAUAAUAUGUUCCAUCUAUCUGUAGCUCUGCUAAUUGGACACUUCAAAAAAACUCCCACUUUAACUUAAAAGACCUAACCGUUAAUUUGGCAUUUGACCUAAUCUAGAUAUUAUAUCCUACGAAGCCUCAACAUUAUAUUGUGGGCCAAUGUUUUUAAAGUUGUAGGUUUGUGGACUAUUUUCAAAACCCAUAUUUUUAGGGUAAUAAUGCACAUAUAGGAAAAAAAACACCCCAGAGUAACAAACCUCCCCGCAUUGCCCACGCACGGGUGACACGGGGAGAAACCCUAGCUGCCACCCUCCCCCCUCCCUCCUUACUGUCUACCACGUCGUCGCCAGAGCACGCUGCUGGAAAGCCAAGCAGCGUGUUAGGAAGGUGGUGGCGGAGCCAUAACCUUAGCGAAGCUCGGCCUCAAGGCGGGGGAGACGGAGUAGCUGAUGCAAUGUUGACAUGCCCCUGCGAGGGCAGCCGCAAAUUUGGUGCCACUGCCACAUGAUCUGGCCCCACACGAUGGGACUCGACCAACAUGGGCAGGAUCUAGCUGGGGUGUUGUCGAGCCAUUGGUGGCGAGACUAGGAGUGGAGCAAAGCCAUGCCGGUGCUACGCAGAGUGGAGGCGGGAGGCCCGAGCUGCACGGAAAGGCUGUGAAGAGGCGUGGCCAACGACUGUGGGAGGCCACGCGACGCUGAGAGGCGUGGCCAGUGCCUGGAACACAGCUGAGGUGUGACUAGCAGCAGCAGUGGGUUGUUGUGGCCCGAUGAGUGGCAACCGGUGGCCGGCAGUGAUGCAAUGGUGGUAGGGGAUUCAGGGUUAGGCGAUAGCGAUGAGGAUGGACGGCCUGAGGUGGCGAAAGCGGUGGAGCCAUGAGGUAGGUGUUGCAAGCCUAUGUUGGGCUCCGAUCUAGACGACAGUCCUCUUGACAGCCCACGAGAUGGCCACGUUGGGACGUUGUUUGCGUGAAACCUGUGGGCACUGCUUUUCCCUUGGGACGUUGUUUGCGUGAAAUUUCCUAUCCUCUCCGAUAGUGUCGUUCAGAUGAAAACCACGUCCUAGCUCCUCAGGGCGGCAUCAGUGGUACUCGGUGCUGCAUCCUUUUUAGAGGUGUCGUUUAGAAGUUCCUCUCCCUUAGAUUGUCAUAUUAUGUUUGUUCUUCAGUAGAGGUUUUGGUCAUAGAUGCAUGAUGUGGGUGUUGUUUUUUCUUCUCCAGAGCUGUAGACUUACUUUCUUUUUCUUGCACGAUCAAUAUGAAAUGUCGCACCGUCUUGUGCGUGUUGUUUCAAAAAAAGUUUUUGGUAGGGUAUGUUUAUACCCUAUUUUCAAAGCACAUCUACCAUAUCUCUUGUUUCAGUACUAUAUUAUCGAUAGGAACGUAGAACUCAUCAUUAUCUAAUCUAAGGAUGGCAUUGGGUAAAGUCAGGUUCGGGUAGAGCAAGAACAUGCCCGACCCGAGACCCAAAACUCCUCGCCCACCCAUAGCAACUACUUUCAUCAGACGUAAAAUAAAACCCAUACCCAUAUCCGUUGAUUAUUGAGUACACAUAGGUUUUCAAUAACAUGAUAUAAUAUAUCAAUUGAUAAAUAUAAGGAAGUGUAAGGGGGGAGCCGCGCCCUCGCGUCGCCCUCGCGCGGCGGCUAGGGGGCGAAACCCUAGCCGCCGCCGCCCCUCCUCCUGCCUCCUCCGUGCUUCGCCGCCGCCGGAGCUCGUCGCCGGCAAAGCCGGGCGACGUGCUGGGAUGGCGGCGGCGGGGCCGUCCUCCUCGGCUCAUCUCGCCCCGGCGCGGGCGUGGUGACGAUGGCGGCGGGACGGUGAGGUCGCGGCGACAGGGACGGCGCGGCAGUGGGGCUCUCCAUGGCGACGGCGGCGCGGCGGUGGGGCUCUCCACGGCUUCGACGACGGGCGACGGCGUCGCCAGAUCCGGUCGCCCGGCUUCCUAAUCUAGCCGGGGUGACCGGCGACGGGCUCGGUCGGUGACGACGCCAGCGCCGCUCGGGCGUAGGCAGGUGGCCGGUGAAGGGCUUCUCCGGCGCAGGCUCGUCGGCGACGACUACAUCGGGUCGGCGGCGGCCCAUGUCCAGUCGGCGGUGGCUCCAGUCCGGCUCUCGGUGGAGCGCGCUCCGGCGCCGGCUGCCGCGGUCCUGGCCGGGGGCACCCGACCUACUGCGGUUCUGCCGGCGACGGGGACGGCGCCUCCAUCUCCCUCCCUCCUGUUCCUCUAGAUCCGGUUCUCCUCUUCAGUUGUUCUUCUUCCGGUGCUCAUCGGCGGUGCGACGCCCGCUAACCUCUUUUUAGGUGCUCCUCCCUUCUUAGGCUAGGCUGUUUCAAGUCGAUGCCGAGGAGCUCCUUGGUGUGGUAGGGGUGGCGUGCGGAGUUUGGUUUCCGGCGUCCUGUCUCGCUGGUCGUCGGCCGCACCGUAGGUUUGCUGCAGUUGGGUUCCUAUGUGUGAGGUGGUCUCUGGUCGAGUUGCAAUGUGAUUGACUGUUGAGGCGGAGUCGGAGCUUCUUGUCUUGCAAGCUCGGCAACGAUGACCCUCAAUAGACGUCCAGGAAAUGCGACGAGGGUUUGGAGGUGGAGCAUUUUGAGCGAGUCUCGGGUGAAAACCUUGCCUAGUGCUAUUCUAGGUUGAUGAUAUCGACGCCUGUGGGUGCCGUUUCCUCCUUGGAGGUAUCGUCAUGAUGGCUCUCUCUCCCUUCAGGUGAAAACCGGGUUCCUUUUGGAACGGGCGUUGAUAACAUUCUUGAUGUUGUUCCCUUGUUGAAGGCUUCGCUUAGAAGGUUUCUGCUCCACUAGAGGAUGUUUGGUGGUUCUAGAGACCUCGUGCAUUAUGUUGUCGAAGCUGCUUGCCUUUGGCAAGCUCGGCAACGAUGACUUUUGUGAGGUCUCAAUAGUUGAUUUCCUUUUCUUUUCUGUAUAGGUUUUUGCCGGUUUCCCUUUUAAUUAACCGUGCUUGUUCGGUUUUUGGGCCCGAUUUCCCUUAUUAACUGCGCCAAUUCUCUUCUUCUAUAAAUUCCGGCAGGAGAAACUCCUGCCGUCGGUUCCUCGAAAAAAAAACAUUUAUAUUUAGCCAAUAAAUAUGAAAUUGUUGACAUUUGAGGUCAUGAUUACGGUAUUUUGAUGAUAUGGAGAUCGUUGGUACUAGGGUAUAUACGAGAUUGAGGUAAAAAAGAUGGAGACAAGGAUUUUUAUACAGGUUCGGGCCCCUUAUCUGACAGGUAAUAGCACUACUCCUAUUGGCCGAAGCCGGUGUUGCUCUUAUUCUUCAUAAUCACACAAGUAUAAUAUUUAUGAUAACUUAUCUAUCUGUUGUCUACUUGGCGGUAUAGAUAACCUACACGUAGUCAACGACAAGGUAGUCUUCCUCCUUGAGUAUGAACUCAUCGAGAUCAGAGAUAGCACUAGAUCCCUCUUGUCAGCCUCUCCAGGCACCAUAUUGGGUCUAUCUAGGCUUAUCUCUGAUGUCGAUGUUUCGCAGUGUGUGCUGGUGUUUCGAUCUUUUAUGUCUCUCCUCUUCUCUUAGGGUCUUGUAUUUAUACCCAUAGAUGUCCCCAUGUCCAAGUAGAACUAGGGUGAUCAAUAUGGAUACAAUCCGAGUGGUCCGUGUUAUUUCCAUAUAUAACUUUAUUUGUCCUUACUUAUCUGGAACUCCUUCUAUAUACAAUGUAUGAUUUUAUAUAAGACUUGGUAUAUGGUGGGCCCCACCGAGCUUAGUCAAUUACUAUUAGGUACGUGGUAUCCAUAACCAUAGCAGAAACCAAAAUAAUCAAUACUACAAGUUACAAUCAUUCACAAAAUAUGAAAUAUGGGCCAAAAUUCAUAAGUUCUACAAUUACAAACUAUUUCAUCUCUGAGAAAGAAAACAAAUGAUUAAGCCAUUAGUAGUAUAUGACUUCGUUACACUUGCAUAUUCAAGUUUAGUUAGUGUUGACCAAUCUUUAAAAAAAAUUGUAUAUUAAGAUAAAUAUUUGGGUGCCCAUGGGCAAAGAAUAAAACCGAUGAGUCUACGGGUCGGGCGCCCGAUCGGUUUGGAGAAAAAUCGAGCGCUGAUAUCAGCAUGACGUCAACGCCCGAUUUACGUGCAAAACUACUUUAAACUGAUUUUUCUCUUAAAUUACUUAUCCAAAUCAUGAUCCGAUUGCACCAUUAAAUUCAUUGCAAUUAAAUCUUCAAAACAAGACCACACAUGGAUAUAUUCCGACGAAUUUUUUUAAGCUUAUUAUAGAAUUAUUUUUAAAUGUUGCACGAUGUUCCACCAGGUGUAUCGGAAUUGUUUCACUAAGUAGAUUGAAAAUGUUUCACUCGUUUAAAUUGGGUGUUGUUUCACCUUAUGUAAAAAUAAUGUUUUAACAAAUAGCGAAAGAAUGUUUCAGUUCACUGCAACAUUUGAUCCAUAUAUAGUGAAACAUUAUAGUAUACUAGGUGAAACAUUUUUCGGUGGAAGAAAAAAUAAAACAAAUUCCAUUAAUAGGGGGGUUUCCAAAAUAUGUGGGUUUUUUUUGUUGCAAUGGAGUAUUUCAGUUAACUGCAACAUUAGAUCUAUAAAUAGUGAAACAUUGUGAAUAUACUAGGUGAAACAUUUUUGGUGGAACAAAAAAUAAACCAAAUUCCCAUCAUAGAGGGUUUCCAAAAUACGUGGGUGAUUUGUUGCAAAAGAAUAUUUUAAUUCACUGCAACAUUAGAUCUAUACAUAGAGAAACAUUGUAAAUACACUAGGUGAAACAUCUUUUGUGGAACAAGGAGAGGGACAAGUGGGUGGGUCCAGCGGGGUGCACACUUGGGGGGAGGGGGAGCAACCGAUUUUCCCACCUCCCCCCGGUCGACCGAUACAGAGCAUUAUCGGAAUAAUACUUCGGAUUUCGAUUGGACAUACCACCCAUACCCAUCGGGUGCGGUGCGGAUGCGGUGUGGACCCAUGGAUAAAAAUACUAUCCCUAAUCUAGCCUCUAGGCGCACUUCUCGAGAAAAGGCACGGAUGACAUAAUUUGGCUGAAAGGAAGCUACGACACACCAGCGAUACACGAUGUACUCAGCUGGCAUUCAUUCGCGAUUUCUAAUCGGCACGCGCCGGCGGCGCACGUUUCCGGCUCAUAAGGCCCAGCGCCGGCACGCGCGCGCCUCCCACUCUUUUUUUUUCGUUUUUCUUUACCCAUUUUUUUCGCUUUUACCUUUUUUUCUGAUUAUUUUUUUAAUAUUUAGCAUGUUUUGAGUUUGAAAGUUUUAAAUUUUGAGUUGAAAAUUUUCAAUUUUGAACUUGAAAGUUUUUAAAUCUUGACUUGAAAGUUUUCAAAAUUUUCAAAUCUGGACUUGAAAGUUUUGGAAAUCUGGACUUGAAAGUUUUCACAUCUCGAUUUGAAAUUUUUCAAAGCUGGACUUGAAAGUUUUCGAAUCUCGAGUUGAAAGUUUUCAAAUCUCAAAUUGAAAGUUUUCAAAUUUUUCAAAUCUGGACUUGAAAGUUUUCGAAUCUCGAGUUGAAAGUUUUCGAAUUUGAGUUGAAAGUUUUUGAAUUUGAGUUGAAAGUUUUCAAAAUUUGACUUUAAAAUUUAAAAUUUAAAUCGAAAAUUUUCAAAUCUAACUUAAAAAAUUUUCAAUCUGUUUGUAAAAAAAAUCUCCAGAAUCUUUCCUAAUUACUAUCAUUAGCAUUAACUAUAUUAACUAAUAGAGGUAGUUAAGUAUAUUAACUAAUAGUGUUAAUAGAGAUAGUUAAUAGGGGAGAAGUGCUCGCUAGCAGCGAGCACGCGCUAGCUAGGAGUCCCCGCAUUCAUUUCUAAUGCGACAAGGAUGUUUAGUUCACAUCAAAAUUCAAAGUUUGGUUCAAAUUGAAUGAUGUGACGGAAAAGUUAGAAGUUUGUGUGUAGGAAAGUUUUGAUGUGAUGAAAAAGUUGAAAGUUCGAAGAAAAAUUUUGGAACUAAACACGGCCAGAGUUAAGUUACGAAUAAAAAUCAUUAGCAUAUAAUAAAUUAAAUUUUAAUUAUUACAAAUUUAAUAAAAGAUGAAUUUAUCUCAAUAUUCUAAAGCAAAAUCUAUUGAGAAAGUUUUUUUAUAAAAUACACCGUUUUACAGUUUAAAAACAUACUAACGAGAAUUAGCAUAAAAUACAUAUUUUAAUCAGAAAUAAUAACCUAAAUGAGUAUCGUGGUUUCAUCCCGAGCGUCAACGAUGAUUUGGACUCCUACUCAAUGAUAGGCGUCGCGCUCCAGCCAUCGUUCAUCCCAAUUGGGGACGAACCAUCUCGAUUUCAACUCCCGAGGGUACGUACUCCCUCCGUCCAGGGAUUUUGAUUUUUUAUUGGUACUGUUUAACCAUUUAUCUUAUUAAAAAAAUUUAGAAUUAUUAUUUAUUUUAUUUGUGACUUACUUUAUUAUCUAAAGUAAUUUAAGUACAACUUUUCGUCUUUUAUAUUUGUAUAAAUUUUUUAAUAAGACGAGUGGUCAAACAGUGCAUGUAAAAAAUCAAAAUCCCUAAUAUUAUGGGACAGAGAGAGUACUAUUUUUGGUCAAUCAGAAAAUUGGUUUCUCUCAUAAAAAAUGACACUAAUCGCUCAUUAGGACUUUAGGUUCACCAUCGUCCAAUAAAAAAAAAAUGACACUAAUCGGGACUCAUUAGGACUUUAGGUACGCCAUCGUCCAAUAAAACAAAUUUCAGGCGUCAACACAUGCUCAUCCACAAAAUGGAAAAAAAUCAUGCACAUAUCUAUCGUCACAUUUAACUUGGACAUACUUCUGAUUUUGAUUGGAAUAAUUAAUUCUUUUGUUACCAGCUUCUUCCUAUUAAAAAACAAGGUGAAUAUUACGGGAUGACCUCGUAUCAAAUAAUUAGAAGGGGUGAGCCUUCGAACCCAAAUCAUCUACCACGCUACCUUGUGAAGCUAGCCGGAAAACCCCUGAGCGGUUCUCAAUUACCUUCACUACUACAAAAUAGGUCUUUGCAUACGGGCGGGAGAGAUUUUCGCAUGUGGUUGGCGCAACCGCAUGCAGGAAAUCGUCUGUGAAAAUCGCUAACUUUGCAUGCGGCCAGGGCACCCGCAUGCGAAAAUCCGAUUUUCGCAUGCGGGCACUUAAGCCGACCGCAUGCAAAGAGAAAAAAUCGCCAAAAAAAAUAAAAUUCCAAAAAAAAAACCCUAGCCCGCAGGCGGCAGUGCCGCCGCCCGAGCUCGCCGGCCGCUCCCGUGCCACCUGCCCCCGCUCCCACCGCCGUUCGCCCCGGUUCCGCCGCCGCCCACUCCCGCUCGAGCUACCACCGCCGGCCACCCCCGCUCUCGCCGGAUCCGAGCGGGACGAGGCCCACCACCGCCGGAUCUAGACGGGACGAGGCCCGCCGCCGCCGGAUCCGGGAGAGACGAGGCCCGCGUCGCCACCCCGUCGCCGCCCAGUCGUCGGGAUCGUCGUUGGGGUCGUCGUCGCGCCGCUCUCGGCCGCCUCCGCCCGCCGGAUCCGGGAGCCCACUCGUCGUUGCCGCCCAGUCGUCGUCGCCGUCGUCAGGGUUUGUCCGCACCGGGGUCAUCGUCAUCGUCGCGCAGCUCUCAGCCACCUCCACGCGCCGCGCGCCAUGCCGCUCCCGCCCGACGCCACCGCGCGUCUUCCGCCGCCGCUCACCGUGCGACGCGCCGCUCUUGGCCACCGGCGCCGCCGCACGCCCUACGCCUCCGAAAGUUUGAGAGACAGAUAGGAGAGAAAGAGUGAGUGAGAGAGAGGAAGAGAAAGAGAUGAGGGGAAGAUAUCAGAGAGGAGAGAGUGAGAGAGAGAGUAGAGAGGAGAAGAGAUGGAAAAUUUUGAAGUGGUGAGGAGGGAAAAAAAUAAUCUAAAAUUAUGAGAACUUCAAAUCAAAUUUUAUGAUAUUAAAUGAACUCAUAUGAAAAAGUUACCAAAAACAAAGUUGUAGAACUCAUUGAGAUCUACCAAUUUUCUUUUGGUCAUUUGUCCAUCCGAGUUUGACUGAACUAUAUAAAAUUUGAACUUUUUAAUAUAAGAAAUUCAAAUAAUGUUUUCACAUAGUAAAUGAUUUCAAAUAGAAAAGUUGUCAACAACAAAGUUGUAUAACUUAUCAAGAUCUACAACUACUUUUGUAUUGGUCAUUUUUCUAUAUGACUUUGUUUGAAUCGUUUGAAUUUGAAUUUCAAAAUAUGACAACUUCAAACAACAUUUUCAAAUACAAAAUGAUUUCAACUCAAAAAGUCAUCAAUAACAAGGUUGUAUAACUCAUCAAGAUCUAUAACUUCUAUUUUGAUCAUUUCUUCAUCCGAUAAAGUGAUUUGUAAGAUUGUUCAUAAAAUGCACAUCUCUUUUAUAGUUUAUAUAAGAGAUGUGCAUUUUAUGAACAAUCUUACAGAUCACUUUAAUUGAUGACCUUUUCAGAUGAAAUCAUUUACUACUUCAAAAUAUUAUUUGAAGUUUUGAAGUUCAAAUUUUUAAUUGAUAAAACAAAGUCACAAGAAAAAAUAGCCAAAAUAAUACCAUUAAGAACAUAAUAACAUGAUAGAGCAUGAUUUUACAAAUAUUUAGAGAAAAAAAUCAUUCAACUUGGAGUUCAUAUAAGUGAGAUACACUAGUUUCAAAUUUUUUAAAUUUUAUUUUCGCAUACGGCUUCUUAAGUGGCCCGCAUGGAAAAAUCGAUUUUUCCAUGCAGGCGCUUAAGUGAGCCGCAUGCAAAAAUGAGCUCAUUUUUGUAUCAUUUUUGCAUGCGGCCCUCUUAAGAGGCCCGUAUGGAAAAAUCGAUUUUUCCAUACGGGCCACUUAAGCAACCGUAUGGGAAAAUGACCCUCGAUUUUUUACAGAUGCCACUUGUUACGGUCCGCAUGGAAAUAUGAUGGGGCCUCGUACAUAAAAAUUUUUGGUAGUAGUGCUUCUUCCUAUUGAAUGUGUUGUUUACCAAUUUAACCGAACUUGCAUGUUCUAUCUAUCUAUGUACUUCCUCUGUUUUACAAUGUAAGUCAUUCUAGCAUUUUCCACAUUCAUAUUGAUGUUAAUGAAUCUGGAUAGAUAUAUAUGUCUAGAUUUAUCAACAUCAAUAUGAAUAUCAAUAUGAAUAUGAAAAAUGCUAGAAUGAAUUAUAUUGUGAAACGGAGGGAGUACAUAUUUGUACAAAUUGACCACCAGAGCUCACACAUUGAUCAGCAAGAUUUGGAUCUUGAUUAGAUGGACCCUAUGUACCUAUACAUUGAUCACCACUUUCUAGGAGCUCACACAUUGAUUAGAAAUAUAUAUUUUUUUAAACAACACGUAUAAGAUAGUGCAAGAUUUGGUACUCACAAUAACUAUUGAAUCAUGAAAGAUCUAUCUCGAUAUUGUCAAAUAUCAACAAUAACAGCCCAAUUUAUGGGUCGAUGACUAGUAUAUAUAAUAGAUACUCCCUCCGUCUUAAAAUAUAAGAUAUUUUAGGUGGAUAUGACAUAUAGUAGUACAAUGAAUCUGGGACAUACUCAUUAUAAUAGUGUUGUCAUAUCUACCCAAAUUUCUUAUAUUUUAAGAUAGAUGGAGUAUUCGAUCUCUUUAUUGCAUAACAGAACAACACGCAGAGUAUGUAGUACUAUCUUAUAUAGCUUCCUAGGACUAUAUAAGAGGAUUUGUGGUCAGGUUAAGCUGAACGAGACAAUCCAUCUAAACGCCUGGACGAUUUAGCGGGUUAAUGAAUAGGCUAGGCGGUUAUAUGUCACUCUCAUGCAUAUUAGUCAUCAAGUUGAAUUGGCCCUGAUUGACAGACGAGCAGUGACUAUUAGCUAGUAGCAACCAAUAGAUGAAGACAUUACUGAAUGCAUACAGUUGGUCUCCACCAAUCUGAAGAUAAUUCAACAAAUAUGUAACCUUUCACAAUAUAUAGGUGUUGCCUCGAGUGGGUUCAGAAAGGAAACCAACUAGACCAAGAGCAAGCAUGAUAUCUCCCCAGCUUCUCCUACUUCUGGCCUUCUUCCAUUUCCUGAGCCCAUACCUUCCGCUAUCUGCUUUUGCGCAAUUUCGCAAUGAUUCCAGUGCUGAUCGACUAGCCCUCCUCUGCCUCAAGUCCCAGCUCCUUGACCCCUCUGGAGCGUUAACCUCAUGGGGAAAUGAAUCCCUUUCAAUCUGCAAUUGGAACGGAGUUACAUGCAGCAAGCGCGAUCCAUCUCGAGUUGUUGCUUUAGACCUCGAGUCACAGAAUAUUACAGGCAAAAUAUUUCCUUGUGUUGCAAACCUCAGUUUCAUCUCUAGAAUUCACAUGCCCGGUAACCAUCUCAAUGGCCAAAUUUCUCCUGAGAUUGGCCGCUUAACCCACCUUACAUUCCUUAAUCUCAGCAUGAAUUCCCUUAGUGGUGAGAUACCGGAGACUAUAUCAUCAUGUUCCCAUCUCGAGAUUGUCAUCCUGCAUAGAAACUCCCUUUCAGGUGAGAUCCCUCGAAGUCUUGCUCAGUGUUUAUUUCUUCAGCAAAUUAUUCUAAGCAAUAACCAUAUUCAAGGAAGCAUCCCUCCAGAGAUUGGUCUCCUUUCCAACCUUUCUGCACUAUUUAUUCGUAACAAUCAACUCACUGGCACCAUUCCUCAACUAUUAGGGAGUAGCAGAUCACUUGUCUGGGUGAAUCUCCAGAAUAACAGCUUAACUGGGGAGAUACCCAAUUCCCUGUUCAAUUGCACUACCAUUUCUUACAUAGAUCUCUCAUAUAAUGGUCUAUCUGGGUCUAUUCCUCCAUUCUCACAAACAUCUUCAUCGCUACGAUACCUUAGCUUAACUGAAAACCACCUCUCUGGUGUGAUACCUACCUUAGUUGAUAACCUUCCAUUGUUGUCCACACUGAUGCUUGCUAGAAACAACUUGGAAGGAACAAUUCCAGAUAGCCUAAGUAAACUUUCUAGUUUACAAACACUAGACCUAAGUUAUAAUAAUUUGUCAGGUAAUGUUCCGCUAGGACUAUACGCAAUUUCAAAUCUUACCUAUCUUAACUUUGGUGCCAACCAAUUUGUAGGGAGAAUUCCCACCAAUAUUGGCUAUACCCUUCCAGGACUCACAAGUAUAAUUCUAGAAGGGAACCAGUUUGAGGGACCGAUUCCUGCUUCGUUGGCCAAUGCCUUGAAUCUCCAAAAUAUAUAUUUUCGAAGGAACUCAUUCGAUGGUGUUAUUCCUCCAUUAGGAUCCCUGUCCAUGUUGACUUAUUUAGAUCUAGGUGACAAUAAGCUUGAGGCUGGAGAUUGGACUUUCAUGUCCUCACUAACAAACUGCACCCAACUACAAAAUUUGUGGUUGGACAGAAACAAUCUCCAAGGAAUAAUACCAUCAUCUAUUUCCAACCUUUCUGAAAGCCUAAAGGUAUUGAUCCUAAUACAGAACAAAUUGACUGGUAGCAUACCUUCCGAGAUAGAAAAACUCAGUAGCCUCAGUGUCCUUCAAAUGGAUAGAAAUUUUCUUUCUGGCCAAAUUCCUGACACACUAGUAAAUCUUCAAAACUUGUCAAUCCUAAGUUUGUCCAACAACAAGCUUUCUGGAGAGAUCCCACGAUCAAUUGGAAAAUUAGAGCAGCUUACUAAACUUUAUCUUCAGGAUAAUGAUUUAACAGGGAAAAUACCUUCUAGUUUAGCCAGAUGCACAAAUUUGGCAAAACUAAACCUUUCUAGAAAUUACCUUAGUGGAAGCAUUCCAUCAAAACUAUUUUCCAUUUCGACACUUUCAGAAGGUUUAGACAUAUCCUAUAAUCAACUAACCGGACAUAUACCACUGGAGAUUGGUAGGUUGAUUAAUCUUAAUUCACUUAACAUCUCACACAACCAAUUAUCUGGUGAGAUUCCCUCUUCUCUUGGGCAGUGCCUUCUGUUGGAAUCCAUCAGCUUGGAGUCAAAUUUUCUACAAGGAAGCAUCCCAGAAUCUCUUAUAAACUUAAGAGGCAUCACGGAGAUGGAUCUUUCCCAAAACAACUUAUCUGGUGAAAUCCCAAUAUAUUUUGAGACUUUUGGAUCUCUACACACUCUCAAUCUGUCCUUCAAUAACCUUGAGGGACCAGUCCCUAAAGGAGGUGUGUUUGCAAAUUUAAACGAUGUGUUUAUGCAAGGAAAUAAAAAGUUGUGUGGAGGUUCUCCAAUGCUACAUUUACCACUUUGCAAGGAUUUGUCAUCCAAAAGGAAAAGGACACCUUAUAUUCUUGGUGUAGUCAUUCCAAUCACUACCAUUGUUAUAGUCACCUUGGUAUGUGUUGCCAUCAUUCUUAUGAAGAAGAGAACUGAACCAAAGGGAACCAUUAUCAACCAUUCAUUCAGGCAUUUUGAUAAGUUAUCGUACAAUGAUCUGUACAAAGCAACUGAUGGUUUCUCUUCAACAAAUCUUGUUGGUUCGGGAACAUUUGGAUUCGUAUAUAAAGGUCAGUUGAAGUUUGAAGCACGCAAUGUUGCAAUUAAAGUUUUUAGACUUGACCGAAAUGGAGCACCAAACAACUUUUUUGCUGAAUGUGAGGCAUUGAAAAACAUUCGCCACCGGAAUCUUAUAAGAGUCAUUAGCCUAUGCUCAACAUUUGAUCCAUCAGGAAAUGAAUUCAAAGCACUUAUUCUUGAGUUUAGGAGCAAUGGGAACCUCGAAAGCUGGAUUCAUCCAAAAGUGUACAGUCAAAGCCCUCAAAAACGGUUGAGUUUGGGUUCAAGAAUUAGAAUAGCUGUAGAUAUUGCAGCUGCAUUAGACUAUCUUCAUAAUCGAUGCACUCCUUCUUUGGUUCAUUGUGAUCUGAAACCAAGCAAUGUCCUUUUGGAUGAUGAAAUGGUUGCAUGUCUUAGCGACUUUGGACUUGCAAAGUUUCUUCACAAUGACAUUAUAAGCCUGGAAAAUUCAUCAAGCUCUGCUGUACUGAGAGGAUCAAUUGGAUACAUUGCUCCAGGUAAGGACUUUUCAUUCUUAUUCGUUCGUUUCUACAGCUUCCACAUUAUCUGUCACGGAGGUGAUGGGCAAUCCCAUUCCAUAGAAUCAAGUAUUAUAUUUCGACUGACAGAUAUUUUAUUAAGUAACUUGGUCAAUCUUUGUUGCAGAGUAUGGCUUGGGGUGCAAGGUCUCAACUGAGGGUGAUGUAUACAGUUUUGGAAUAAUUGUCCUAGAGAUGAUCACAGGAAAGCGCCCAACCGAUGAGAUCUUUAAGGAUGGCAUGAACCUUCACAGCUUAGUGGAGUCAGCAUUUCCACAUCAGAUGAAUGACAUUUUAGAACCUACUCUCACCACAUAUCAUGAAGGUGAAGAACCAAAUCAUGAUGUGCUUGAAAUACAAACGUGUGCCAUACAGCUGGCUAAGCUUGCGCUGCUGUGCACUGAGCCAUCACCAAAAGAUCGACCAACAAUAGAUGAUGUUUACGCUGAGAUCAUUUCCAUCAACGACAAGUAUUGUGCACUGAUCAACUGAGGAAAUGAAUGGACAUCUUUCAAAUUUUAGAUAAGAUUAUCUCUGUAUGAAUCCAAGUAAAGAACGAUGACGAUUUUGUACUUACACUCUACACACUAAAAUCUUAAAAUGGGGGCAAUGAAGUUAUUGAGGUUCUCCAAUACUGUGAUGCAGUCUAUUCCAAAGGCACUGAUCUGGAAUUGCGUAUGAUUGAUUUUCCAUGCAAGAUGCAACAAUUGCAUACGAUUGAUUUUCCUUGGAACGGCACAUGAAGAAAAUAUCUUUAAUUAUGCGUACUACGAACUAUAUAUAUUCUAGCUAAAUUAAGAUGCAUCACAGUACAUAUUCAGAGGAACAGAAACACAAUGUAAUGAACUGUGAUGAUGACAAAGAAGCAGAAAACUUAUAAGUACGAAUUUGUUAAUCAUGGACCAGAAGUCUUAACCCUAGCUAGUAUGAUCAUACACCCAGCCUGGGCCCUGGAUACCCUAUCAGGUCCAGCCCAUGCAUGUAGUGCUGAAACUCCAAAUUGUGCAGAAAUUGAGCAGCUGGAUAGUAAAUGGAGUCACCCAUGUUACAUCAAUGGAAAUAAGUCCUUAUGGUGAUUUAGCUAAAUCAGUUAUCCUAUUCCACUUCUAUUGGUCGCAACUUUCUAGAUCCCCUUAUACUUGUUUUUAGUUAGUCCAUCAUCACUUCGCUGUUCUACACCACGGUUCUUCUUUUCGCGUUUGAUGCAGUACAAUAUCAGUCAUGCAUGGUUGCUGUAAUUAGCACAAGCGAUCGAUGGAACGGGAACUCUGUUUUACCUAAGGAUCUACAGUACUUCCUCCGUCUUUAAAUAUUUGACGCCGUUGAUUUUUUUAAAUAUAUUUGACCGUUCGUCUUAUUCAAAAAAUUUAAGUAAUUAUUAAUUUUUUUCUAUCAUUUGAUUCAUUGUUAAAUAUAUUUUUAUGUAUACAUAUAGUUUUACAUAUUUUAUAAAAGUUUUUGAAUAAGACGAACGGUCAAACAUAUUUAAAAAGGUCAACGGCGUCAAAUAUUUAGGAACGGAGGGAGUAAUAAUUAUAGUUUAUUGAUGAGUAAAGACUAAAAAAAACUGGGAAACAUACAUAUAGAACAUCAAUGAGUCAACGUAGAGGUAGCCCAAGAUAGAAACGAACUCGACGAAUUUCCAUAGAUAAAGCCAGGCUAACUCAGAGGCCAAUCUCUGCACAAUAAUCUCUGGCGUCGAUUGAAGAUACAGGUGCAUGGCUACAUUUGUUAAUCUUAUGCCUAAUGGCCUAUUUUGAGAAAAUGGUGUCCUGUAAUUUCCUGGUGCGUCCUAAACCUACGAUGACAUGUGUGAAUCAUGUUGGGACAAAAUCCAACUAGCGUGUUCAAUGUGUACUCUGUAUUCAAUGUGUCCACAACUAUGAACAAUGUUUACAUAUUUAUACAAGGGGUACAAGAGGAAGUUACAUCUUUACCCUAGCUAAAAACAGAUGUAGAGUGGCUGGCCAGUGGACCAGCCCUAGGGCAAUUAGUAAAACCCCUGGUGACAGGGAGGGCUGCGCCCAUUAAGGAGGUGGUGACGCUUCCCGAGGGUGAUGACUAUUAUCCGGUUAAAGGCAUCCUCUCGGAUAAUAGUGGAUGUCAUCCUACCCCUGUCAGGAUGUCAGAGGUGGUUGGCGGAUGCGUAAUGCGUAUUAAUGGUGCCCCACUACGUAUACGCUCGUGAACCAUUCCUCCAUGCUUGAGUAUUCUAGCUUCCCGAGCACUCCGGAGCCUUUGAUUUGCUCUGAAACCGUUAGUUAGCUCCGGAGCUUGUGACUCGCUCCGGAGUCGUUGGUCCGCUCCGGAGCAUGUGGUGGGCUCCGGGGUGGUGAGUUAUAUUAUACCCCUCGUUGGUCUCGAAGAGGGGUAUAAACCUGCCCCCCAAGUGGCUCACGGUGACAUGGGCCAUCAAUAUGUGACAUAUUUUUUAUUCUCGUGUUCGUGAAUAGUAAACAUUCAUUUUAUUGUUCAUGUGUUGCAUUUGUUUGAUAUAGAGCAAUUAGGAUGGCUUUAGUAAUCUAGUAAUUCCACACAUGUGAAUUAGGUGAUCAUCUAGGCUAAGAUCAUCCAAGUGAGCUGCGCACAGCAAAGAUUCUGUUAUUAGGAUAAUUGGGCUGGAAAGGUUUGUAUCAGUCCCUGUAAGACAUAGUUCUCAUAUCAAUGUACUCUUUUCUAGAAGAAAGAUAUUUAAAUUCAGAAAAAAAAACAUGAACCAAGUAAAAGCAAAGGGAGGAGGGCAAGAUACACAUUCUAAUUAUCUCGUUUGGUCAAUUGACCUGCAAUAAGCUGCACUUCCGGUGUAUUGGAUAGCUAGCUCCAUACCUGUAAUAUAUAUGCAUUCCUACACGGCCAACUGAUUAGUAGAACAAAGAGAUGAAGAAGGAUCGCCGCGAUGGUCAAUGCUCCACUCUACCAAGUGUGCGCAACAGGAACGGAAACUGGAGCAGCGCAACCUCACCACAAAUUUCAAGUGACAUGUGAAUUCCCAAUGCUUUCCAAGCUUACUAUAUACACUCUGUUAGUCUUUUUUUUUCUCAUUUCAUAUAUUUUUUGGGGCAUAUAUAGAUGACUUUUAAAGACGCCACAUCCAUCUUUUUCUUUCUAUAAAGUUAAUGCUCACUAAACAUCUAAAUCUUAACGUGCAAGCAUAAUAUUUAUUAGCACUCAACCUACAUGCAAACAUGCCACAUCAACCUAUUAAGCACACAAAACUCAACAUGCAAGCAUAUAGUAAUUAUAAUUAUAUCUAUAAUUUAUUUCAUUCUAAAACUAAACAUACAUAUGCUAAAUCUUCAUUCUCAAAUCAUUUCAAUUAUAUUUUAACUUAUAUCAUUUCAUCAUUUCUCUAUUAUCCAGCAUAUAUUCCGCAGCAAAGCUUUGAGCAUCAUCUAGUAUAUAUUUAUGUGGAAUGCCACUAUUCCGGUUGAGUGUUUUUAGUGUACAAUUAAGGAUUCUGUUUGUUUGCCCGGUUGAGUGUUUUUAGUGUACAAUUAAUAGGAUUCGGUUUGUUUGCUCUGGAGCGAUUGUCCUCGAGAGCGAAGUAAUACAAAAUAAUACUUACAGUACCCUGCUACUUCCAUUUCUAGGCAUAGAAAAGCUUGGUUGUGUGAGCUGAUAAUUUAUAGGGAUGCCAGGCAAGACAUCUAACUGAAGAGCCCAGCCAAUUAUAGCCAAGAUUUAGUGUAUCUUUUUUUUAUUCUGCACCAAUAUAUAUGUAGUGUCUUCGAAGUCAUCGAACACACUAAAACAUAUGCGAAAUGAAAAAAAACAAUGGCGUCGAUCGCGGAGUGUGUGGUGAGCUUGGAAAGCAUUAGGAAUUGGCAUUUCACGGACUGAGACUACCGAACGUUUAGCAAUCGGUUGCUAACGGCCAUUGUUGUCUCCGUAUACGCCUUCAUCUUAUCUGCUAGCUGCGCAGGCGCAGCUAGUAGGCUUCUAAAUCUGUCGGCAGAAAACAAUAAUCACCAUAGGUGUUCUGCCUUCAUCCGUUUGCUUGGACAGUGGAUAAGUGUUCUGCAAUCCUACCUAAUUGAUUGAAUGAUGGAUCACGAAAAGAAAAAAAAUAAAAGUAGUUUUGGCAUGUGUUUACAAGAUGGAGAAUGCGUGGAUACCAGCAUAUUAGUAAAGAAAAUAGUUACAUUUAUUAUGGUUAGGGGCUUAUUUGAUUUUAGUCAACUGAACUGGUGCCUCCACUCUACUACUCACCCUCCUUGAUCAUAAUGCAUUCGAUAUGCAGAGUGGGAGCCAUGUCUAAUUGUCCGUGAUGACAGAGCGGAAAACACAGAAAUACCACCCUGAGCAAGUAUAGUGAGUAGUGAGUGUUGGAGGAACAGAGGAGUACACAUCCACUAGCCAUUACUGAAUACCCGAGAGCAUCCACAAUGUGUAAACUAAGAUGGCUACUAAAACAAUCUUUAGAUUGUAGCAAGGAUCCUAUACAUUGCAAGAAGCAGGGUCUUAAGCCACCGAAAAGCAAAUUGCCUCUUCCAUGUGGGCACAAACUGAAAUCCUAUAUAUUGCACAAACUGAAUUGUGUACUUAUCUUUCCAUGUGGGCCCUAGCUCAAUUAGGGAGGGGGGUAUUUACACAUUGUGGAUACUAUGAGCAUAUGCAUAUGAAUGGAGUGUACUAAAUGAGUAGAGUGAGCUUAAAGUAGAGAAACCUAGUUUCACCGAUGCCUAUUGCCUAAGGAUCCUAGUUGAGAGUUGUCUUCCAUGCAUGACAAGAAGUGGAUCAUAGGCUUGGAAAGCACCAGGAUUGAGUGACUCAACCUAAUUAGUAUAGGAUCAACUAAAAGUUGUGCAUUUGCCUAAACAUUUCUUAAGCAUUAGAGAUGCUUCAUAAAUGAUACAUGGUGUCAGGUCUCCCUCCAAGAAGCCUGAUAACUCGGAAACACGCUAUACAGGGGUCAGACGUGUUCCAUACCAAGCUGGACAAGGUGGGCCACAACAAGGAAGAAGCCCAGAAUGUCCUGUGCAUCCAAAGGCCGAAGAAGGACAAUCCCAAAAAUCGCGAGGAGGAAGCGUGCAUCAGUCUUGGCGUGUUCUGUAAUAUAAGCACGAGAAACAUAGGAACGUGGUAUAUAUAUACCAGUGUAGAUUAUAAGCAGAGUAGACAAAGUACGCAUUGGAGACAAACACACUUUAAGGUAAUGACUUAGAGGAUCUAUGGCCCACUGAAUCGUUCAUUUUUCUUUUUGAUUGGAAUAAGAGUGAUGGGCCUUGGGCCAGAUUUUUAAUGUGGUCCAUGCCCACACACAGACCAUCUUAUAGCUUGGCAUGUGUAUAUAUACUAUUUUAAAAGGUGGUAGUUGUGGUGAUGGUGAAUCUGCUACCACUAGCUCUAUCACUAACAUAUGACCCUCCGUGUUCGUGAAAUCCAUGUAAUCAAUAAAUUUAAACGUUCCCCAAAAGAACAGUGCCUACACAACAUAAUGUCCAUAUUAUUUGGUAAGAUCUGAUAAGUAUGUAGUGAAGGAAUCUAUAUACUUUAAGUGGUUGAGCCAUUCUACAUAUUCUUCAAAUGAUGAGCAUGCAGUGUGCAUAGCAUGAUAAUUUUUUUUGUGAUUGCAGUGCAUAGGCAAUUUGCUAGUCUAUCGUAAAAUACAGAUUGAGAACCCAUAAUUCAGUGGUAAAUUAAGGAGUAAAGCCAGCAGCCCCCAACCGAGUUGUCCUGACAGCACGAACUCGCGCUAGCAUUUGUGCAGCCCAUUUGGAUGAUCUUAGCCCAGAUGACCCCCUAAUUCGAUGGCAAUACUAAACCCCCUUGCCUGUAUCAAACAAAUAUUUAUCAAUAAACGACCAAAUGAAUGUGUGAAUGUAACUGUAUGUAAGCAUUCUUUUUUGUGACUAACAUGGAUGAAUGUUGCAUAACUUUCUUCACUGAUCACUUUAUUACCAUCCUUACUUAGGCAAGAGGGCUUAAUUAAGGUCUGAAACCUCUCAAUUUUAAAUUUUAAAUAAACUCUCCAAAGUUUUAUUUUAUUUUGUUUAUUUAGUAUACUCAGUUGCCCGCACUUAUUUUAAUUAUUUUAUUUGUGAACACUCACGCGUCUAUUUGAGUGGCCCUAAUAGAAGCAUGUACUUUGUUUAACACAAUAUAACCGGUCGAUAGUUCGAUCUACUAAAGCUUAACUUAUCUUGUGCCAUCCAUUUAUUAUCAUACUACUGUAAGAUGAAAAGAGAAAAAAAAUGGCAAACUCAAAGCAGUAGAGUAAUUAAGCAGCAGAGUUCAGAUGAAUAAGGUAACUAGAUCGAUCAUCUCCUCUAAUAGAGAGUGAACGUACAAUCCCAGCUAAAGGGAUGGAACAAGGAGCCAACACAACUCAGUCGUUCACCCGGUUUAAUUUCCAACCUCACAUCUGCAGCCUGGUGCAGAUGCAGGCAGCUUGCGGUGACAACAACAAUGCUAUCGGUCGCACGAUGGAAAAACAGAUGGUAGCACAUUGCUGCUAAGCUUCCCUAACAUCUAAGGAAUGUCCAGGAGCAACAGCAGCUUGGUUGCUACCAUAGCGACACAGGUUUAGCCAUAGGCUCCUAAUGCUUCCCAAUCCUAUAUAUGGCACAUAUAUACCUUUGGCCUGGCAUGCAUGGAAGCAGGCAGCUAUGCCAACUGGGAUUCCCAAGCAGUAGAGGUAUCUCAUAGCUCCUUGAGCUCGAUCACUGCUACUCAUUUUAUACUCUUUUUCAUUUAAACAUGCUCAGGAAGUACUGGUUAGUGCUUAUGCCUCGGCCUCAUUUUUUUCUCCCAUUAAUCAUUUACACCUGCUCAUGAUGGUAGUUGUAUGUUCUGCACUGCAUCAUCGAUCAUGCAUAGUUAACUGCACAUAGUUCGUGAUGUGGGUAAUAAGUAAAUAUGAUCAGUGAGUCGGGUGCAAGCGGGCCAGCCCGGAAACAAAUUUAUAGUGCAAAUAAAUGGGUAACACGUCAGGUUACCCACUUAUUUAUAUUAUAGGUGGGUUGCUGGAUCGACCCGCUUGCAUCCUUAUUAGUGAGAGUAAAUUGUAGAGAUGCAGCGCAGAGUCCAAGAUGGGAGCCUAUUUCAGCAAUUAAUAAACUCAGUUUCAUGACUAUAUCUAAAAACCAUUGGCUUUUUUCUUCUGACCACCGGGUAGAUGGGUGUCGGAGUUUAUGUUCAACGCCCUCCACAUUUUCGUCUCUAUCUUAAAGAAAUGAUACGGAGAUCUUCUGCGUGUUCCUAAAGAAAAAUAUUUUACACUUAACUAAUGCCGGUUAUCUUUAUCUCGGUCAUUCGGUCAUUGAUCCACCCAGGGCCGGGUCUAUGGGCGUGCGACAGUACAGGGCCUCCAAAUUUUCGGGGCCUAAAAUAUCAGCCCAGUAGAAGGCCCGUGUACUUGUGUCAUUGUGUGAGGCCAGAACGCCAGAAGUCCAGAACCCGUUGGAGUCCACGGCCGCGCGCGGCGACUUCGCUUCGCGUACGUGACGCUUCGUAUCCUCGACUCCGAGCCUCGAGGCCCGCGUUUUGUAUUCUCUUAAUCUCUUUCGUUUUUCGUAUUCAGUUCGUCUCGACGUCUCAUCUCCCCGACUCCGCCGAGCACCGGCCAGCUUGUUGUCGUUGCCUCGUCCAAUUUUUUUUUUUAGAAAAUUCACCCGCGGGGGGGGGGGGAGGGGGGAGGAGGAGGAGAGAGUUUCCCCAAUCCCCACCUGAAUAUGCCUCGUCUAAUUUCAUCCAGUGAAUAGCAAUUUAACAAGGAAACAGCAAAAGGCACUAGGCAGCCAGCAAGCCACUCAAGCCAGCAACAGCAACGGACCUCUCUCUCUCUCUCUUUUCAGUUUCUGAAUUCUGAGUUCCAGUAUUGCAGUCCAAACUCCGGUGAGGCCUCAGGCCACAGGCCUGAGUCAGCAUGUUAGAGUAUAGGGUAGUUAGAGUCAUAUUAGGAUAGGAUUGAUUUGUGUGGACUCCUUCCAUAUCUGUAAUCUUUCCUUAUCUCCUCCCCAUGUACUCCUAUAUAUACCGGCCCCCUGAGGCUCAAUACAAUGUGUCCCAUAUUAAGCAGUAUACCUCUUCUCAUAUACUAUCCACAUGGUAUCAGAGCGGGCGACCUAGGGCCGCCGCUGCUCACGCUUCCGCUCGUCGCCCCCGGGAGGGGAUCGAUCUCCCGGGGGGGGCCACCGUUUUCGGUUUUUCGUUUCGUUGUCUCACCGUCGUUGUGGAGAAUUCAAUCUCCUAGCGUCGGGUCAUCGUUCAUCUGCGUCGUUGUUUGUCGCCGAGACGGAUCGAUCUCGGUCUCCUCGGCGGCCGCGUUCUUCGUCGUGUCAUCGUCAUCGACAUGAGUCAAGCAGCAGCAGUCAGCACUCGCUGCUGAUCUGGUUGUGUUUUUUUUCCUGUUUCAAAAAAAAAGGGGGUUGCGUCACCCACCGCCUCGUCGACAUCCACGCGUCUCCGACAUCGGCGUCGACUCUGCUUCGACUUCAUCGUUCCACCUCGCGCAUAUUCGGCUUGAUCACCCGUUUAAGCGCCCAGCUACAACGACUUCUACAACCGAUCGUCAUCGAGUACGCGUCUACGCCAUCAAGCUUCGGGUUGCCGCUACGUCGCUCCCCUCGGGCCGUAGUGCCGCUGCUCGUGGUCCACCUCCACUGGUUGUUGGAACGCUGAGAGAUUCCCUCCUCAGUGUGGCCUUACUACCGGUAGAGUUCUUGCCGCUGCAUUGACAUAGAGCUGCUGCUGUGUUGUCCUCUCGGACCGCAGUUUCGCCGCUUUCGUCGUCUUCCUCGCCGUUCGUGCAUCGACAACCUCGUCGUCUGCACUGGUCAUCGUUAGCCACUCAGAGUCUUCUUCCUCUACUUCGAGCAUCGCCGCCGCGUCUCCAAGUUGCCACCGUCGCCGCUCUAGGCCGGUGGUCCAGCUAUCUCUAUAUGGCUACCGACAUCGCCGUCCAGGCCGUUGGUCCCGCUACUUCACCUUCUUCUUCGUCCAACAUGGUUCAUCGCCAGCGUCGUCGUAUCUUCCUCGACUACACUUCACUCUUCUCCGGCAACUGCGUGCUGCUCCAGCAAUUCUCCCUUUACGCCGUUCUCGCGCCGCGACUGUCCCGGAAGCCUUCUCUGCUAGUCUUCUCCGACAUUGGUGUAUGAUUCAUGGUGGUCCCCUACCUCGCCCGCUCGGUAUUGCAACACCGUUGCGCGCGUUCGUCCCGAGUUGUCCCCGGGUCUGGCAAACUCGGCGUGAUGUCUCGUCCUUCACGGUUCGACUACAUCGGCUCUUCAGUGUCAUCUACCUCAACGACUGCCGCAAUCGCGUCACCAUCAUCGUCCUGCGCGUUCUCGCGCACCUUGGUCCACGACGCCCUCCCAUGCAUCCAUGACCACUCUACGGCGCCCCCUGCGCAACUCUGCGGCUCGGCUACCUCGACAUCGACUCCCGACUACGGCUACAUCGACCACGGCUACUCUACGCACGGGUAUCUCGACCACGGCUCCCUCGCACCUUUCGCUUUGGCUACAUCGACUACGGCACAAAGGGCUAUCAUCCUUAUUGAGUACUCUUGUUGGUUUCUUCUCCAGUCCAAGUGUCCGCGCUGCUCACGCUUGGACUGCGGGGGGAUGUUAGAGUAUAUGGUAGUUAGAGUCAUAUUAGGAUAGGAUUGAUUUGUGUGGACUCCUUCCAUAUCUGUAAUCCUUUCUUAUCUCCUCCCCAUGUACUCUAUAUAUACCGGCCCCCUGAGGCUCAAUACAAUGUGUCCCAUAUUACGCAGUAUACCUCUUCUCAUAUACUAUCCACACAGGGAGAGGGCGACUAGGCAAGAGGCGGAGACCAGCAGGUCCAACAGGAGUGCAGGUUUUCAUUUUUUUUUUCAAUUCUAAAUUUGUAAUUGUAAUGUACUACUUUAAUCCUUCGUAUGAAAGUCUAGAACUGUUUGUAUAAUUUUAAUUUUGUUCUUUUCAUCUUCUGAAGCCAUGUCUUCUACAAAUCGAUUUAGAAAUUUUGAAUCGGGUUCCCAAAAGCGUAAGAAGAAACAAAGAAUUGAGGAGUUAACUCAAUCUCAGAAAGGAGCAAUUGAUAGAUUUAUUAUAAAAGAAUCACAAGUAUCUUCCAGUAAUCAGACACUUGAUCAAGCUCCUGCACUUGAUAGAAGUAUCGAAAAUAAUCCUAGAGAUGAUCAGACAGGGACAGAAAAUAAUGCUGAGGUUCAAGAAGUUCUUAUUAAUGACACAAGUGUUGAAAUCAAUAAUAAUGAUGCUGAUAACAAUGAGAAUACUGAUGAUUCUUUUCAGCCUGAUAUAUUUGAUCCAAGAUAUUGGGAUUCACUUAAUCCUAAACAGAUCGACAUUUUAGCACAAAAGGGCCCUAGAAGAGACUUAUCAAUUCAGAAAGGUCCCAAGGAUAGAUAUUCUAGAAGGUUUUCUGCACUAUUCUAUAAUAGAGUUCUAUCAAAUGGAGAGCAUUGCGAUAGAGAUUGGCUUGUCUAUUGUAAGGAACUCGAUAGAGUAUUUUGCUUCAGUUAUAAAUUAUUUACAAAAGGACAUAGAAAGGGUCAAUUAGCGAAUGAGGGGUACAAUGAUUGGAUACAUCUUGGUAGUAGGCUUAAAGAGCAUGAGACAAGUGCAGAUCAUGUUUUGAAUAUGACCAUUUGGUAUGAGUUACGUAGUAGGUUGGAAAAUGAUCAAGCUAUUGACAAAACCGCUCAGCAACAACUAGAGAAAGAAAAGGACCAUUGGAGAAAAGUUCUAUUCAGAAUUGUUUCAUUGUUUGCAUUGUUAAAUUUCUUGCCAAGCAUAGUCUAGCAUUUCGUGGUACUAAUAACAGCAAACUAUAUGAAGAUAGCAAUGGGAAUUUCUUAGGUUUGAUAGAGAUGUUGGCUGAAUUUGACCCAGUUAUCCAAGAGCAUGUUCGUCCUAUUACAAGUGAAGAAACUCUACUUCAUUAUCUUGAUCCAAAGAUUCAGAAUGAGUUGAUACACUUGCUUGCUUCUGCUAUUAAGUCUGAAAUUGUAAGUAAAAUAAAGAGAGCAAAGUAUUUCUCUGUCAUUCUUGAUUGUACUCCUGAUGCAAGCCACCAAGAACAAAUGUCUUUAAUUAUAAGAUAUGUGUAUUCAUCUUCAGAUAAUAUCUCCAUAGAAGAAUCCUUUCUAGGAUUUUUAGAUGUAAAUGAUACAACUGGACAAGGACUUUUUGAUGUGCUAGAGAAUGAAAUAAAAUGUCUUGAUCUUGAUAUAGAUGAUGUGAGAGGCUAAGGUUAUGAUAAUGGGUCAAAUAUGAAAGGAAAACAUCAAGGGGUGCAAAAGAGACUUUUGGAUGUAAAUCCUAGAGCUUUCUAUUCUGCUUCUGGUUGCCACAGCCUUAAUUUAACACUUUGUGAUAUGGCCAAGACUUGUGGUAGAGCUAAAGACUUCUUUGGAAUCAUUCAACGCAUUUAUACAACUUUUGCUAAUUCCACUAAGAAAUGGCAGAUUCUGAAAGAUAACAUAACAGGAUUGACUCUCAAGUCAGUGUCAGCUACACGAUGGGAGAGCCGUGUUGAAAGUGUUAAAGCUAUCAGAUUUCAAUGCGCUGACAUUCGAGAGGCUCUACUUUAGGUAUUUUACAUUGACAUAUUAAUAACGAUACAUUUCCUUUGGUUGUCCUCAAAUUUUAAGUUAUAUUUUUUAUUUUAAUUUCAGAUAUUUGAUGUUGAUAAUGAUGUAUAAACUAGCAGUGAGGCUAAAGGUUUGGCAAAUAAUGAACUUGGAGAAUAUGAAUUUAUAGUGGCAAUUGUCAUUUGGUAUGAGGUACUGUAUGCUGUUAAUUUAGUAAGCAAACACUUGCAAGCAAAGGAUAUGCUUAUUGAUGUUGCUAUUGAGAAAGUGCAAGGGCUUAUUUCUUUCUUCAAAGGGUAUAGAGAAACUGAUUUCUUACAAGCACUGGAGGCAGCCAAAGGAAUUGCACUUGAGUUGGAUAUCGGCACAACAUUUCGUAAAAAGCGAGAAAUUGAAAGAAAGAGACAAUUUGAUGAGAACCCAGAUGACACAAAUGUUGCCACACAGUCCGCGGAGGAAACAUUUAGAAUCAACUAUUUUAUACCUAUUGUUGAUCAAGCUAUUUCUUCGCUUACAAGGAGAUUUGAACAAUAUCAGCAUUACCAAAAGAAUUUUGGUUUCUUAUUUACUGCUGACUCAUUGCGAUCAUUGGAUAAUACGAGCUUGAAAUCUUCCUAUGACAAUCUUGAAGCAGCGCUUAAAAGAGAUGAAAAAUCUGAUAUUGAUGCCAACGAACUAUACACAGAGUUGAGGUUUCUUCAAGAUUUCAUUCCUAAAGAAAAUAUGGGUCCUCUUGAAAUUCUUAAGUUUCUAAAGCGGCAUGAUUGUUUUCCAAAUGCAUCUAUUGCAUAUAGAAUUUUAUUGACCAUUCCUGUGACUGUUGCCUCAGCAGAGCGGAGCAUUUCUAAGUUGAAGCUAUUGAAGUCAUACUUGCGUUGUACAAUGACACAAGAAAGACUUAAUAGUUUGGCUAUGAUAGCACUUGAGAAUGGAUUGCUGGAGAAGAUUAACUAUGAGCAUAUUAUUGAAGAUUUUAUUUCAAAAAACACUAAGAGAAUGAUGUUAUUCAAGUAAAGAUUAUGCAAAGCAAGAGUUCAAAAGGUACUAUUCUUGAAAUAUCGCAUUUGCUCUGCCGUACAUACAUUAUUUUAGCUAUAUUUGGUAUUUGAUUUUGGCCUCACUUAGAGCUUUGUACAGAGUCUACAAAUUUGACGGCACGGCCCUGGAUCCACUGACAAAGAAGAAACUAUAGCCAAUCAGCAUGCAGUUCAGUUAUGGUGUGUUAAAGAUAAAAAAAACUCAAUUAGGGAGUGGGCUUGAAUCUGUUACAGAUUGAUCAAAUGUCAGGCUAGAUCGAAAUGAUGGCAAGCGCAUCAGUAAGGUCUAGCUUGAGCCACACAUUUACUGAUGCCUCAUAAGCCUACGAUCUGGGCUGCACACACACACACCAUGCCAUGUUUGUUAUGCAUGGCUGGAUGUCUCUUCUUCCUUGAGCUCACUAGCUACUCAGAUCAUUUUAUACUCCAUUCAAUGAAGAAACAUGCUCAGCCAUUUCACUAGCUACUGGGUUACUGCCGCCUUUAGUGGUCAUAUAUAUAUAUAUAUAUAUAUAUAUAUAUAUAUAUAUAUAUAUAUAUAUAUAUAUAUAUAUAGUAAAUUUGUUUGGUGCUCCAUGGUGCCCGGGCACCAUUGCUGAAAUUGAGUAUAUACCCAAUUCAAAUGAGUAUGAAACUUUUUCAAUUACUUAGGUAUUAACAUUAACUACUUUACUAACUAGUUUAAAGCAAGUUUGAACUGAAUUUGAACUUGUUUUUGUUAGAUUUUGAUUCUAGGUAUAUAGCAUCCAUACAUAUAAUUAGUUAGGUAUGUAAUCAUGGAUUGUGAAAUAAAGUUAAAUUUGAGUUGUUUUGUUGAUAAGUAUAGGUAUGAAUCAAAUUAUUAUAACUAGGUAUAUACUCACAAUUUGAAAAUUUUGAAAAAUUUGAGUGAUUUUGUGCAUUAGAUACCAUGGUGCCCGGGCACCAUGGUGCCCCAUAUGAGUGUCCUAUAUAUAUAUAUAUAUAUAUAUAUGUGUGUGUGUCUGCCUCUCCUUUCACUUGCUACUUUUAUAUACACUUGCUGGCUGCGUUCGUUUCAGCCUCUUCCCAACCCCCUCCCUCGUUUUCCGUACACAUGCUUUUCAAAUUACUAAACGGUACGUUUUUUAAAAAAAAAGUUUCUAUACGAAAAUUGCUUAAAAAAUUAAAUUAAUCUAUUUUAAAAAAAAAUAGCUAGUACUUAAUUAAUUAUGCGCUAAUGGACUACUCCGUUUUCAUGUGGAGGAGAUGGGUUCCAACCGCUAGUAACGAACACAGCCAAAAGGCUGGUCUUCUGUAUGUUUUGCGCUGCGUCAAUAUUAGUCUGCUAUUUGUGUUGAAGCGAAAUAGCAGUCUAGGAGCACAGAGAGUCUAGCUAGUGCCUAGUUCAAAGGUAAGCCCAGUUGACCAAACAACAAAGGGCUGAUUAGCGGUGAAAUGAAAAUUUUUUAGUGUCAUAUAAGACGUUUGACCGGAUGUCGGAAGGGGUUUUCGGAUACGAAUGAAAAAACUAAUUUCAUAACUCGCCUGGAAACCGCGAACGAAUCUUUUGAGCCUAAUUAAACUGUCAUUAGCACAUGUGGGUUACUGUAGCACUUAUGGCUAAUCAUAGACUAAUUAGGCUCAAAAAAUUCGUCUCACGAUUUACAUGUGAACUGUGCAAUUAGUUUUUCUUUUUAUCUAUAUUUAAUGCUCCAUACAUAUAUCCAAGAUUCAAUGUAAUGUUUUUGUGAAAAGUUUUUGGGAACUAAACAGGGCCAAAAACUUUUGGAAUCCCAUUAUGCAGCCUAGCUACUUGGAUGUCCAAAAAUUUCAAAGUGGCAUUACUAGAGAAGGAUCCUCUCUAUACAAAUCAAUAUAACCCGUAAAUUAAUUGUACCUUUAUUAUGUUCAGGGACAUGACAAUGAAAACAAUAAGUCAAAUGUUGAUGACCUAGCUAGAUUACCUUAGGCUGUGAUCGGCACCCCUUUUUCCAACUCUUUUCCCUUAUUUUCCGCGCGCACGCUUUUCAAACUAUUAAACGAUACGUUUUAAAAAAAGUUUCCAUACGAAAGUUGCUUAAAAAAUAAAUUAAUUUAUUUUUAAAAAGAAUAGCUAAUAUUUAAUUAAUCAUACGCUAAUGGAUCGCUCCAUUUUCCGUGCGUACUAUUACGGGUUGGGAAAUGAAUGGCGAACACAGCCGUUUUGACCCUUUUUUUACCUACUAUUCCCUUCACGCGUACCCAGAGUUGUCCUCACCACAUUGAACCUUCCUGGCCCUGCGGCCCAUAUCCGGCAAGGCGUGCCACUGAAUCAACCAUCACUGAUCGUUAUGAAUAUUGAAUAGGUGAUAGAUUAUAUAUUUUCUGAUGAUAUACGAGGGUACAAAUAAAUAAAUUAACUACUAUAAAAUUGAAAAGUUAUUUUAAAACAUGUUCUAAGCAAUUUACAUAUAUAUAGAGAGAGAAAGUUUGAGUUUUUUCUUUUUGCAAAUUGCACACUGUUUAUAAGUUUGAGAGGAAAAGAAUUGGACCUAAAAAAUCUAGGGUGCUAAUUAUCAGAAAAAGAAAACUAGUGCACUGUAGCCCUAAACCAAAAUGAAUAUAAACAUGUGUUUUUUUCAACAAGCUACUAACAUGUUGCUCUCUAUAUAUGAUGUCCAGCUUUCCUAAUGGGAAGUUCUAGCUUAACUUUCCUCAUUUAUCACUUUAUACCAUCCUUCCUUAUGCAACAAGACUAGCUUAAUUAACUAUCUCAGAAAAACCAACAAUGUGAUGCUCUAGCUAGCUAGCUAUAGCUCACACUCACAGCUGGACCAGCUUUAAUUUCAUCUUUCAAAAGGAAAAAAAGUCUCGAAUGUUCAUUCCUCCUUUCUAAGUUGUUCAUGUACGUGCACGCUCUGUGCAACAGGGAAUACGAUUCCAUGGCCUUCGCUUUCCUCCUUGACGGCACCAAACUGCUAACACCACACUCUUUCCUGCGGAAAGCUACCUCCGUCCAAUAAAAAGUUCAGUUUUUAGUUUUUAUAUAACGUUUGGCUCUUCGUUUUAUUUUAAAAAGUUUUACGAUUAAUAUUUUUAUUGUUGUUAGAUUAUAAAACAUGAAUAGUAUUUUAUAUGUGACUAAUUUUUUUUAGCUUUUCUAUAUCUUUUUUAAAUAAGACGGACAAUCAAAGGUUAGACACAGAAAUCCAAAAAUAAACUUAAGGGGUAAAUUUAACACGUCUCUGUUAUCUUUUAGGCUAGAUCUUACCUUUAGUGCAUUUUUCUAUUGCUGUUCAUGCUAUAUUCAGGCUGUGUUUGUUUUCCAGUGUUGGGAACAUAUUUUCAGCGUAUGGAAUGGAGCGAUCUAUUAGCACGUGAUUAAUUAAGUAUUAGUUUCUUUUUAAAAAAAUAGAUCAAUAUGAUUAUUUUAAGCAACUUUCAUAUAAAACCCUUUUAAAAAAAACGCACCAUUUAACAUUUUAAAAAGCGUGCGUGCGAAACACGAGAGAGGUGAGUUGGGAAAGUUGGGGGAAAGAACUGAAUCCAGUGCUGCAGGGAGCUUGAGAAACACAAUUCAACGGAAACAAAGUGACAGAUAUGCGUGCACUCAAUUUAGUUUUAACUUGGAUUUCUCUUGAGGAGCAUAGAACUUAGAAGCAGAUCCCUUUUAAGUUGUUGUUUCAUCUUCAGGACUGUACAAUGGUUCCCUUUUGUUGCUAUUUGCACAACUCCUUCCUCGAUCAGUGAAUUAAUGAAUAGUAAUUAAUCUGUAGUAGAUGGAGUUCGACUACUACAUUUUCAGAGAAAGUGAGCACAAGCAGUUGGUUAAUUUAGUAGUUUCUUGUCAGUGAUCAGGUGGUAAAAGUUGGUGUCACAUACAAAGUUCAUGUCGAAUCUUGCGAUCGUCAAGUUAGAAAGAUAACUCGUCAGAAACUUCUAGCUAGUUAACUUUAUCCAUGGAUUAAUUAGGAGAAUCUCCUACCUUAAUUAGCCUAGCUAGCUAGUUACCUUCCACAUUCUGGUCAUUUAAUUAUAUUACAGACAUAAUUCUUGUCCCUCUGAAACUAAGGAUUACUGAUGUGAGUGAUUCUUGUGCUUUUCUACCCAAUCUGCCAGAGGCAUCAUGCAUCACAGGAUAUGAUGCAAACUAGACACAACCUUGGGUUUGAUUUUCUCUAUAAACUGGAUUAUAUGUGUGUGUGAUUCUGCUGAAGUGUACGCAUGGCAUUGUUUUCAACUUCUUCACGUGUACAGAGUUAUUGCUUACCUUGUACAGAGAAAAGCAACACAUCUCAACACACAUGAAUGUUUGUAACGCAUUUUUUACAAGAGAAUAUAUUUUGGUAUCUUCUGAUGUGAAAUAUCACUCUGGUGCAUAUUACUGGAAACCUAUUACUACUGAUGUAGUAUAUAUUGACAUCAUCCCGGUUUGCGGAGAAAUUAGCUGUACUGUAGUAAAAUAUAUGAAACAGGGGUUGGUGACAACUGGCAACCGUGGGAGAUCAAAAUUAAGCUGGAAAUAUUAAAUUAGUUGGUAAAAAAAUAACUGCAGUAAUGAAGAUUAUAUUCCAAAUAAAUAGGUCAAUAAAAACAAUUACAACAUCCUUCUUGUAACGCAGAAAUUAAGUGUCAGUUUUCCAAAGUGAGCGUUCGUACACUUGUAACAGCAUAGGAGUACCUGUGUUGCUUUGGAGGCAUUGUUGUCUCUGCCAGCUGUAGCCGUGCCAGUAUACAGAAUUAAUGGGUAAUAAAAUGCUUAUUAAUUUACUUCUAAAACUUAGGGUCCUUUAAAUCGCGGGAACGGAAAAAUGGGGAAUAGAAAAAAAAUACAGGAUUCUAAUAGGAAUGUAGGGUGUGUUUAGUUCACAUCAAAAUUGAAAUGAUGUGACAGAAAAGUUAGAAGUUUAUAUGUGUAAGAAAGUUUUGAUGUGAUAGAAAAGAUGAAAGUUUGAAGAAAAAGUUUGAAACUAAACUCAUCUGUAAAUGCAAAACAGAGAAUUGCAAAAGCGCAGAAAAUACAUAGGAAUAACCGUUUUAUUGGACCUUAGAAAAACCGUAGAAUUCAGAUGAGAAAGAUAAACUCGAAGAAUUUUUUUCAAAAGGUAUAGAUGUCAAAAUUUUGUAAUUAAAUUGGCGUUAAACUUAUAGUUACUGAACUUAUAGUUUUAUAAUAAACUUGAUAUUAAAUAUCUAGUUUCAUUAUAUAUCAUAUUAAAUAUGUAGUUUAAUGUUAGUUUAACUAAUAUAGUUUUCGAAAAUUUACUCAUGAAAUAUGUCGGCACACACUACUGAAAAUUCCUACAUGGUACACAAAUUACAUUUGUACCUUUACAUGCUCCACAAAUUAAUGUUCGCGUACACGACCACACAUCUUCUCGUAUAAUAUGCCCAUACGUGUACCAUGAACCGUAUAUAUAUUUAGUUUGUUACCGGCUAACCUAUUAAUAAGCUAUACUUGUACCAUCAUAUGUAUACCACCAAACUACUCCGUAUUCCUUUUCUUUUUGAAAGGAGGUAUCUGAACAUGUUGUAUAUCCAGGUAUAUGAAUAGGAUUGUUUUUUUUUUUUAAUGGAGGAAGUAUGUCUGAUACACAGUGAGCUGAAGCUGGCUAAGCUGGCACAUGUGCGACGGAUCGAGGCGUUACAGCUUCGUGCGAGGGGACACGUGUCAGCACGCGCGGUGUCCCAGAACGUGGGGCCAUGUGAUCAGAGACGUCGGUGGGCUUGGCCGGCCCGUUUAUAUGCGCCCACACCACACGCCUCGAUCUCCCAUCUCUCUCCAUCACUCCAUCCCUCCAUCUCUUCUUCAUCUCCUCUCUUCACACUAGCUGCUCCUUCCUCUUCUAUUUCUCUCUCCAUCUCCAUGUAAGAAAGGAGGAACUUAACACACUUCAUACCAUAAGCAUGGCGGAGAAGGUGAUCAUGGUUCGAUCUCUCUCUCUCUCUCUAUUCCUGUGCGUAGUGUCCAUCGAUCUCUUUGUUCAAAGGAUUUGUGUGUUUUGUGUUUGACGGAUUCUUUUGGAGUUUGUUGUUUGUUAUAAUCGUGAGUGUAUUAUCUAUCAUGUCGUUGUUCAUCAGAAUAAACUGAGAGGGUAUUAAUUGGAGUUUGCGGAAUUUAUUCUCGAAGUUUCUGUCUUCAUGUUGAUCAGGAAUAUGUUUUUCUUUUCCCGAUUGUGGAAUUAUGUCUCCAUCUUCAUUCAGGAAUAUAUGCUCACACAACAGUUCAGAAUCUUUUUACGUCGUCGAUUUUUUUUCUAUUCUAAAUCAUCCGUUUUUCUUGUGAAGAAGAGCGAUGGUUUCCCUUUUAUAUAUGAUACGUUUCUCAUAAAUCGAAUUGAUGUGUGAAUUGAUUACUCUCUCUUAAUUAAUUAAAUUCUAAUAUUUUUUUAUAAACAACUAAAUUACUGUUUAUUACGGUGAGAAUUGACACUUCUGCUGCCUUGUUUUGUUCCUGUCCUUAAAUCCUUAAUUUGUAUAUUAUAUAUAUAUAUAUAUAUAUAUAUAUAUAUAUAUAUAUAUAUAUAUAUAUAUUGAACUUGAGUACUUGACAGUUGACAGUGUUGUGCGAUGUUUUAAGUAAGGUAAAAAAAUAUUAAUAUGUUUUCGUGUGAAUCUGUAAUAGCUCCACGAUUGCUUGACAGUGUUGUACAAUGUUUUCAAGAAAGGCCUGACCUGGCUAUUAAUAUCUUUAUUUUUUUAUGGGUGAUAGCUCCACUGGUAGAAUUGAUGCUCUCUUACCCCAUCACCGUCAAAAAGAAUAAUAUUUACCCUCUCACUAACAUAAUGCUGCUGUCAACACAGAUCUCCACGCUAAUCCUUAAGGUUGACCUCGCUUGCCACAAGUGCUACAAUAAAAUUCGCAAGAUUCUCUGCAAUCUCCAAGGUAAGAAGGACCUCUCAAUUCUGUACAAUAAUACUACUCCAAGUUAAAAUUAUCAGUAGUAUAUGACAGUAACCAAGAAACAAUUAGCACAACCCCACAGUUUGCCAUUUCAGUUAGAAAAUUUCAAAAUCUCACAAUUUUUGUAAAUUACCCUCUGGCACGAAACUAUUUCUCUUGAAAAUUACUUUUUUAUUAUUUUUGUGUGAGAAUUUAGCAAAAUAUAUUCAAAUUUUCUGAAGUAUUCUAAAAUUCCUGAUUUUGGGAACCCCUACAUUUGUCAGUGUUUUAAUUAGUUGGAUAAGAUAUUCAGUAAUAGCACUUCUUGAACGGUUAAUAGCGGGCUAAAUAAGGUUAUAGUGGCUGAAUUAUAAGUGAAAGCAAAUAGCCAGAUCAUCUCCAAAUAGUUACCUCUAGGAUAGCGGCGGUUAUAUAUAGCCGGAGAUUUAAAACCUCGACAGUUGUGCAUACCGAAAUACCAGUAGUAAACAUUGAUUAAGACAUAAAUAAUUAAUUACUGUCUACUAAUCCCUAUUAGAUUUGGUUUUUGUGCAGACCAGGAGAGGAUCACGACGAUCUCGUACGACACCAAGAACAACAUCGUCGUCAUCGCCGGCACGUUCGAUCCUCAGAGGCUUUGCUGCAGGAUCAGAUGCAAGGGAGGCAAGAUCAUCAAGGACAUCCACAUCGUCGACGCCGCCGGCGGCGGCAAGCCGGCGAAAAUGCCGGACUCGCCGCCGCCAUCACUACCGCCGCCGGUGAACACCGGCAAGAAGAAGUGGAAGAAGGACAAGCGCAAGGAAAUUCCGCCGCCGCCGCCGCUGGCUGAGACGCCACCGCCGAUGAAUGAGCGACCGCCGACGCCGCCGCCAGUACAGCCGCCUCCUGACAGGGAGACAUCGGCGAUGGUGCCGGCGAUCGUCGAGGAGGAGAAGCCGAGGGAUAGGGUGGCCGAGCUGGAGCCGCCGUCACCGCACAAGGAGAUGCCGCUGCCGCAGCCGACGACGAUGGAGAUGCCACCGCCGCCGGUCACGUGCACGCCGGUGGUGGAGAAGCCGAGGCCGCCGCCGUGCGCGAGGCCGUUCUACCCGGUGGACAUGGCGACGCCGACGAUGGUGGAGAUCCCGUCGUGGCCGGCGGCGCCCGCGCCGCCGUCGUGCUGCGCGCCGCCGCCGUGCUACCAGGGGUGCUACGAGGGGUGCAGGUGCGGCGGCUGCGGCCGCGUGUACGGCUACUCCGUACCCAGCGCCAGGCCGCCGCCGCUGCUGCCGCCGCCGUGCUACUCCGGCGGCGGCGGCGGCGGCUACACGCCGUACUGCGGCGGGUACAGCGGCUGCCGCCUCGUCAACGAGGAGGACCCGACGGCUUGCGUCAUCAUGUGAUCUCGCUACGUCAUCAUUUCUCUCUGGAAUUUCAGUAGCGUGACGGCGUCUAUAUAUGUCCAUUGGAGCUCAGUAGAUUUGCAUGCUUGCAUACCGUGAUUUGCAUUGGAAUUCAGUAAUUAAUUAAGGCAGUAAUUUUUGCACAGAUUGAAUGAUCAUUACCGUCGGCUUGAAGCUGAACCGUUGAACAUUUCACUAUCUAUCUAUCAAUACUAUUUUUGUACAGAUUGGUUACUGCUUUUCUGCCAAGUGUCAAUGUCAGAGAAUUCAUCAUCUCUAUGUUUCAAAAGAACAACAACGAAAAAAACACUGAAGAACAGAAAAAAAAAAACAGAGAGCCUUACUGUCCUGAUCAGAGUAGCACAACUAAGAUGUGUCAGUUGGGUGAUUACAAUAAUCCAACGAGUCUAAAAGAUAAGCAGAAUCAGGUUCUACUACUGCACUCAGAAAAAAGGGAUGCUUCCUGAAAGUAGUUAUUCCCUUGGAUCAUGCUCAUGCAGAUGUGACCUUUGAAACACUGCAGAUUAGGAGUACAUAAAGUGUUAAAUUUUGUAGAUCUGUACACCACUAAUCUUGUGCCUGCCAAGCAGAGUCUAAGGGCUUGUCUGGUUUGCUGCCAAAUUUUUCCCUAACAAACUUUAGCAAAUUUCGGCACUACUAAAUUUGGUAGUAUAUAUAGGAAGGAUUUUAAUUAGUGUGGACAAAUAUUCAUACUAUUAAAAUUGCCAACAUUUCAGUGUCGAAAAAAUGGCCUCAAUCCAAAUAAGCCAAAUAGGCCAUAAUUUUUUACAUGGUGAAAACAAAGUCUAAUUAAUUACCAAACAAUGAAAUCUUCAAAAGAAAACAAAAGAGCAGCAGAAGUAGCAAAGCAAAGCUUCUUCCAUUGUAGAUUUGUGAUGUCCUCAGAUUAGGCCUGCAAUUUCAUAUGAUAAGUGGUGCACCUUCUAAUUAGCCACAGCUGGAGGGAAUCAUAUGCUCUGUUGUGUGGUGCAGAAGUGAGUCUGCAGACAAGUAGUGCAUCAAUCAUAUAUCAUACAGUUGAUUCGCAAACUUUGAUGUUCUAGUGGAACAACCGUACCUGAUAUGGUGAUACAUUGCCAGAAUUGGGGAGAAAAGCCAUGCACAUCCAUGAUAUGCUUGACAAGAAGAUCUUCAGUAGCUUCUCCUGGAUUUCUGUUAGUACUGGUAGGUACGAAAUUCCUCACUAUAUACAAAGCAUUCGUUGGCACAGAUGUUAAUCGUCCAGAUUAAGAGCUCAUCAAAAGUUCUAUAGCAAAGGUAAAGAAAAAGUGCCUUUUUUUUAACCGAGGCAGAUAUUCCAGCUUUUAGAUUUAGAAGAAGAGAAUUGAUCCAGUUUAUAAGAAAAACAGUGCCUGAAAACCAUACAACUGCACGGUUAAUUACAGGAAAACCGUCGGCUGAAACCCACUGCUACACAACUAACAACGACGGCAGAGCCCAAACACUGGAUAUCGCUGUCAAGCUAAACACAAAAGCGACACAACAGCUCCCACAUCGCAGAAGAACUGUUAUCGUUACCGAGCUAGCUGCCCAAGCAACCCAGCAGUGCCGACUUCACAACCGCAGCGACACUAAAGCCACGAAAGUCGAAAAGCAACUCCGACAUCCAACAAUGGACAUCAACCAAGCCACCGAGGAGCCACUUCCUUCACACGGCUAGCACCAUAACUCCUUGAAAGAGACUUCAACAUGUCAUUGUUGCCAAGCGAGCAGCUCCGACUUCAUCAGCAGAAACAACCGAAGAGUGCGUCGUCCACCACAAGAAUGAAGCGGACCCAAAAAGGCGAAGGACUCGCCGAACACAAGGUAUAAAAGCUUUUGAACUGAAAAAGACCAUCAACAGUCGUCGAUGCGUUGGAACUUCUCCGAAGCAUCAAUAAAUUUGUAUUUUGACAAAUUAAACUACUGCUAUAGUAUGGCAUCAAUAUAUUUGUAUUUUGAUUAUGUCAAAAGCACGGGAAAAUAGCUAAGGGUAUACUUGUCCUUUUUACCCCCACAUUUAACACCGUUAGUAAGAAUUAACGGAAUAGGGGCAAACGGCUGUUUCGUUUAAAAAAAGUAGGGGAAAAACAAAAACCGUAGAAAACAGGGACAAAAUCAAUAUUAGACAUCGAAGUAGAUGCAAGAAUGAAAUUGCCCAAAAAAAAAAGGUUUUCAAUGCUGGGGAUAUUUGAGAAUCAAGCGCAUUGCGUAAACACCAAUAAUUAUACUAGUGAUCUUUUGUGUAUUUGAAAAUUUUGAGAGACAUAUGAGAGGCAAUAAUAGUUUAUGCUUAAUUUGUUGAAUAAAUAGUUUGUCGAAACACAAGCGGAUGAAAGGAAGCAAUCGAGUUACGAGACUGAAAUUGGAAAAAGAGAGCCGUUUGCUUCUCGUGCUCCCGUCCAGCAUGGCCCACCUUGUCAGUCACAUGGGCCAAACACCCGGCCCAACCCAACCUGAUCCCACCUGUGUUCCGCUCGUGUGAUGCAGAGAGAAAAAAAUUACAAAAAUCCGCGCAAAAAAAAUAUUAAUAAUUCUAUAACGUAUAAAAAUCGACGCCUCAGAUUCGUUUGCUCACAGUAGAUCAACGGCCAGGAGCGCACCACAGGUCCGAGAGUCUCAGUAUUACUGCAAGUGGGCCAGCCCACCCAACUCGAUCCCGAUCCCCCUUCACACGCGGCGGUUGACGUCUCCGACGCCGGCGAUCUCCUCCGCCCCCUCCCCUCCCCCGCCGCCGCCGCCGACCCUCCUCAGCUCGGCCGCCACCUCCUCCGCCAGAGGGAGAGCCCCCUCCACCUCGGCUCCUGCUCCUCCAACGCCGCCAUGGUAAUCCCUCGUGAUCGAAUCUAGUUGCUUCCACCGGAUCCCGCUCUGAUUUGCGCUGCUGGGGGGUGGUUGCAGAAUUACAUCAUCGGAGCAUUCAAGGCGCCCUGCGACGUCUUCAUCACCUUCGCCGAUGAGAGGAGCCGGAAGCAGGUAGGGGAGGGGAGGGGAGGAGCCGGCGUUGUUCUUGGUGGCUAAGGAUUAGCUGGCUAGCUAUCAGGUUGUUUGAAAGAUUGGGAUCGUGUGUGGUUCUUGCAGGUGGCGAUCAAGAAGGAUAACGGGAAGACGUUGAUGGUGCCGGCCUUCCAGAGCCUGGAGACUAUUGCAGGAGAGGUAGUGCCUACACUCUGUCUGCUUUUCUGUAUAUUUUUUUCUAGUGUUGGAGAUGGGAGUGUCUAAUUGUGAUUAAAUGGUGUGGUGUUGGAGAUGGGAGUGUCUAAUUGUGAUUAAAUGGUGUGGUGUUGGAGAUGGGAGAUGGGAGUGUCUAAUUGUGAUUAAAUGGUGUGGUGUUGGAGAUGGGAGUGUCUAAUUGUGAUUAAAUGGUGUGCAGGUGUCGGUAGCGCCCGUUCCAGGUAAAAGGGUGGAGCACCAAGGUGUCAAGAUUGAGCUGCUGGGUCAGAUAGGUAUGAUGCACCCUUGAUCUGUUUGAUUCUGAAUAUGAGUGCCCUAAUGCCUAUGGUGACUGCAUCGAAUAUAAGACAUGUUAUUUCAGGUUGCUGAAAAUGCGAUUUGUUUGUAGAAAAACAAGUGUGAACGGAAAAGGUUCUUCGUUGUUCUGAAAAUUCAUUGCAUUAUUUUCCCAGCUAAUGUUGUUUCAAAAUCUCAUUACCAUGACAAAGUAUAGGAUUUCAUUGCUUGAGAGACUGCAAAAAGUACCCGCAUGAAUUGUUUCUUCUACCACUAUCGGCAGCAUUGAUCUUCAAUAGUUCAGGUCCUUCCAAGUUCUAACAUUAUUAUUACCUGUGAUCUUUUAUAUUGCAGAGCUGUACCAUGAGAGAGGUCACUUCUAUGACUUCACUUCGUUAGGUAUGCUCUUUCUGUUAAGAUAGUCUUGAUCUUUUUGCAGCCCUCCCUGUAUGCGCUAUUCCUUUAGGUUCUUUGCACUCUUCAAAUCUUAUAUAUUGGGGCUUUACAUUGUCGAUUGACCCCAAGAACACUAUCUUGCAAGUUAAAUGGGAAAAAUUAACCCUCUGAGAAAACUUUGUUGUUGUCAUACCAUUGUUUGUUUCAUGUGCGAACUAUUCUCACUAAAGCAUUAGUGAGGUGCCAAAUGUUUAUUUGUGCUAUCUCUAUUCUACAAAUAAUGGAAUAUAACUUAGCAUCUUUCGAUUUAGAUUAGCUCGCUGUUCAGUUGUAAGCCAGUAAAGCUAUUCAUUAUCUUAAGUGCUUCUCUUUUCUUUUUUUGUCUGUGUAGUGCGAGAGUUAGAGGUUGCUGGUGAAAUCUAUGAAAGGAAGACUUAUCCAUUUGAAUUCUCUACUGUUGAGAUGCCUUAUGAGUCGUAUAACGGAACAAAUGUCAGAUUGAGGUAAGAAGGCUAACAUGCUUCCAUUAUGCAUUGCACAGGUCAUAACAAGAACAGCUUGCAUGACUUGUAGCAUCGACAGCUUUAAUAACACUAUCUUGAAGAUCAAAAGUCAUGUUUGUAAUGCUUGCAGGUACAUCCUGAAAGUUACAAUUGGCAGACCAUAUGCUACUAGUGUUGUGGAAUGUCGAGAUUUCUGUGUAAGUCUGUAACUCCUACAAUUGCAUUUGGCAGACCAUAUGCUGCUCCUAACAGUCAUGCUUUAUUUCACUAACUUCAUAUAUGUAAAUAGUCUGUAACUCCAGCAUUUUUUGUCAUUCUAGUUGGACUUGUUAAAAUUAGAUGUCUCGUCUAUGUUGUGUUGAUAGUCACGUAUGCAUCCGCAUCCGUUGUUCUAUUUCAUCUUUUCUUGUUAUUAAUCGGUUCAAAGGGAAUGCGUUUCAGAUUUCAUUAUUAAAACAUUUCAGGGUUAAUUAGCUAUGUUUCUUUCUCUUUUUUUUCAGGUAAGGAAUUACACUCCUCUUCCUUCAAUUAACAAUAGCAUCAAGGUGAGUGCUAUAGUAACUAGAUGGCUGGACAUUCAGAGUUAACCUGUCUUGGCAUUAUAUUAUGGGUUAAGUGAUAACUGUAAGAUAAGCCUACUAUGCCUUGAUCAUUAUCUUUAUUCCCUUAGUGAUGGUGUUGCAUGCUUGAAAUAUUCUUCAAAUUAUUUGAAUUACCAUUUAAUACCAUUUAACCAAAUUUUUUUAAUAAAAAAUAUAGUAACCUUAAUAGCUUAAGGGAAGGGAGGGGAGGGAGAACACAAACCUUACAAUUUUAAGGGCCCCUUUGAAUCAAAGGAUUUAUGUAGGAAUUUCAUAGGAUUCAAAUCCUAUAGGAAAUUUUCCUAUUUGGCCCUUUGAUUCAAAGGAUUGAAGCUUUCCAAAUCCUAUGAAAUUCCUAUGGAAUGGCACAUUGCAUGUGGAUUUUGGAGGAAAUUUAGUAAGAGCUCCAACCUCUUGGAAAAAUUCCUUUGAGUCUAUCUCUCUCAUCCGAUUCCUGCGUUUUUCCUAUGCUCCAAUCAAACAACCAUUCCUGUGUUUUUCCUGUGUUUUGCAAUCCUCUGUUUUACACUUCAAUUCCUGUCAGAAUCCUGUGUUUUUCCUAUUCUUCCGUUUUUUCUACCCUGCAAUUCAAAGGGGCCCGACGUCAUGGUGAAAUGGCCAUAGUACCAUGCCAACAAUUUGACAUUAUUCCUGAAGCCCAGCAGUAACAGGAAAAGUGAACAAUGCUGUUUGAUCUACUUCAGAACCAUGUUUCCAGGCAGCAAUUUUUUUUUUCAAAAAAAAAAAAAGAUUCCAGACAGCAGUAAAUGAAAUACAAGAAGAAUGAAGGAUUCAUUAGAUUACAAAGAUAUCCUUUCCUGGUUUUUAUGUUGCUCAUUUAAUUUUGGAGUAGCUCAGUCAAUUUAUCUUAAUCAUAUGCAACAUGAGAGAGUGGCUAAUUUUUUCCCAAUUUCCCCUUUAUUUUCUCAAAAUGGGAAUGAACUGGUCACUUCUUUAAAUCCUUCUCAUGUGACUCCAAUUGUUCUAUGUGGUAAUUGGGUGUACUUAAUAGUAAUGUGAGUAUUUAAAUUGUUCCUUCCUUUACAGAUGGAAGUUGGAAUUGAAGAUUGUUUGCAUAUUGAAUUUGAGUACAGCAAAAGCAAGUAAGAACAGUCCCAUGUUCCAAUUUGCCGCUUGUUCUGUUAACCAGAGUUCUGAUAUUCUUUCUUCUGGGCCAAACCAUAUUCAGGUACCAUCUCAAGGAUGUGAUCGUGGGAAAAAUCUAUUUUCUUCUAGUCAGAAUAAAGAUAAAGAACAUGGAGCUUGAGAUUCGUCGGCGGGAAUCAACAGGAUCUGGGCCUGGCACAUAUAUUGAGACUGAGACACUUGCAAAGUUUGAGUUGAUGGAUGGCGCUCCCGUAAGAGGUAAUGUCUUUUGUGGCAUUAGGAUUAAAAUAACUGCUGCAUACUUGCCUAUAAGUCUAAUAUGGCAAUAUUUCUUAGUUCAAGCAAAGUAUUUACAUUAAAUUGAGCUGGACCAAAUCAUUUUACAGGUGAGUCUAUUCCGGUAAGACUCUUCUUGACACCAUAUGAGUUGACCCCGACUUACCGCAACAUAAACAACAAGUUCAAUGUCAAGUACUACCUGAACCUGGUUCUUGUUGACGAGGAAGACCGGAGGUACUUCAAGCAGCAAGAGAUCACAAUGUACCGCCUUCAAGAAACUCCGCAAUCUUCAUAAACUCCUGUUGCCUUGACUUGGUAACGACCAGAAAAACUUGGGUCUGUCUGGCAUAGGAGAGCACCGGAGUAGCAACUUAGCAUGAUGCGCCUUCCUGUAUAUAACUCUCCAGAGGAGCGAUGCCCUUUGUGAUGUACCGUGUACUGUUUUUGCCUAUGCUCUUUUCCCCCCCAUUUUCUCCUUCAUUCUGAUCAGGAAACAAACCAUGACAACGCUGGCAUUGUUGCCCUUUUCGCCUUGUUCAUUUGAGCUUUCUUGUUAGACUUUGUGGGAUAACCAUAUAUUUGUUGAUAUUUUGCUUCAUUGUUUUACCCUUUAAUAAGUUCAGUUGAACCCGAUAUGGUCUCCAAGUCGAUGUACUGCUGGCUGCAUGUUGAUUUUGUACCAAAGCAAGAAAUCUGAACAAACUCUGAUUGGAAACAGUAUGAACAAACAACACUGGAAUGUAACUGUUUGCGUGUGAAUGAUAAAGUUAGCUAUACUGUGUCCAAGUCAAUUCAGAGAAUAAUUAGCUGCUUUCGGUUAAUCAUUCUUCAUCACAAGAGUCCAACCAUGCUGAGCACAUGUUGGAAUUUGCACAUGUUUGAGCUGAAUUUGUGUAUGCAUGAACAGGUGUUUGGUGGCUGAGCACAUGUUGGAAUCAGCACAUGUUUGAGCUGAAUUUGUGGAUGCAUGAACAGGUGUUUGGAAUUCUCAAAAAAAAAAAAAAGGAGCAGGUGUUUGUGGACAAUUUGCAGCGUUGUUGACUGUAAUCAGACGGUGGCUAUGUUGACUUCAACACAGUAUUGGUUGAGAUUACCAAAACAAUCAUCGGAGCAUGGGGAUUUUCUGAAUGUUUUGGGGAUGAUCCUUUAAAACUGAAAGUAGUGAGAAUGCUUCUUGCUUCAGAGGCAAAAGUGAAGCUGCCCAUGUGGGCGCCACCUGAUUAGCAACCCUAAAUCAUCAAUCAAUCAAUUAAUUAGUAAUUCAAAGUACUAAACACGCACGCAUUGCCGUGUUGUACACCUAUCUUGAGAUUAGAGAAGCCAAGCAUCAUCUUCCAUCGGGCGAAGAAAGAAUCUGCACCAAGACGGAGUCAGCAACUGAGAAUUCAGGCCCCGUUUAGUUCCAAAAAUUUUUUUCCCUAAAAACAUCAUAUCGAAUAUUUAGACACAUACAUAAAGUAUUAAAUAUAAAUAAAAAAAACUAAUUGCACAGUUUGCAUAAAAAUCACGAGACAAAUCUUUUGAGCCUAAUUAGUCCAUGAUUAACCAUAAGUGCUACAGUGACCCACAUGUGUUAAUAACGAAUUAAUUAUGCUCAAAAAAUUCGUCUCGCGGUUUCUAGGUGAGUUAUGAAAUUAGUUUUUUAUUCGUGUCAAAACCUCUUCUGAAUGAACAUUUAGUUAAACGUCCGAUGUGACACUCAAUAAUUUUCUUUUCACGAACUAAACCAGGCCUUAGCAAGCAGCAGCUAACGGGUCCCACCCGCUUGGGAAGCGGAUCUUUCGUGGCGGGACCCGGUAAGGGGGGCGAGGUGUCCGACCGUGUAUAUACGUGUGCAGCGACGGCAGCAAUGGAGGACGGGAGAGAGAGAGAGAAGAAGCUCAACCCAAUCCCCUCCUCUCCCCCAAUUCCGCCGCCGCCCCCUGCUCGGAUCCUCCCCCACCCCCGCCGCCGGCGAGAAGGGCCCGUAGGCGCGGGCUCGUCUCCUUGCUGAUCCCGACUCCGCGCGCACGGCCGGUGACUCGACUGCCUCGUCUCGGUUCGAAUCGAGCUGGGAGGUAUUGCUCGUUCGAUUGAUUGAGCCGGGUUCGCCUCUAGAUUGUAAAUCUAUCGCCCCAUCGGGAGUUUGGGAUCGAUUCUUUCGUUCGUUCUUUCUUUCUUUCUUUCUCCCCCCUCCAUUAGCCAAUCCAUGAUUUAUUUUUUAUUUUUUAAUUUUUAUCUGGGUUUCUUCUAUUCGAUGCGUGGUGGAGUGCUCAUAGAAGCUUUUCUUUUCUAAAAAAAGAGAGAGAAAAAAUUUUGAGUUGAGCUGAGAGCCUGGGUCUACCACCAUGCCUUUGCGUUAGGUCCACACCUGAAGCUGGAAUAUACGAUGGAUUGAUCGAACUUUGUAGUACUAUUUGUGUUUGGUGGAUGCGUUUGUUCGACGAUUACUGACCUGAUUUUGCUGCAACUGACAGAUAUUGAGGAGCACUUGGACUGAAGAACUCAAUUUUGGAGCACUUGGAUUAGCAUUGGCCACCCUGCUGGACUCACUGACUGUUAAAACGGCUCUGGUUUAAGGAGUUGUUUCUCUUGUGGUCAUUCUUUGGAUUAUGGGAGCUCUUUGUUCAUGUUUGCAAGCUGAUUAUUCCGACCACCAUGGGCAUCAUGCUUCACCGGCAUUAGGGGGAUGCAUGUGCCUCAGAUGUUUUACUCAGCAGCUCAUCAAUGCGGUAUGUCUUGUCCUAGUAUCUUGAUUCUUUCCAUUUUUUCUGUAUGUUGUUCUGCUCACCGUGAGCUUAUUAACUGUUCUUACUUAAAAUUAUUAAGCUGCAAGUAGAUAACAUGUUAGCCAUCUCUUUGAAGACACACCAAAUGAUAUGUCUUCCACAACAUAUUUCGAGAAAAAAACCACAACAUAUUUCGAGAAAAAAACAAUGAGCAUAUACAAUCAUGUAUGGGUGAAUAGUUGAGAAGUUAUCUAGGUUAUACUGAAGCUCAUCAGUUUUCCUUAUUCAAGUUCUAAACAAGACUGAUUGUGGUGUGCUCAGGAAAAGCGAAAUACCCAAUGUGAAUUAUCUGCCAGUAUAGAUAUAAUUGUCUCGAGUGUCAAUCCGUUGUCAUAAGUUUUCAAGUGAUAAACAAGAGAAGGGUGUUCAAUUGAACUAAAAAUGCUCUGAUUUUUAUUGGACAGCUUACUUCUUUUUAAAUUGAGCUAACACAGGUUGGAAAUCAUUGACAUUUUGAUUUCUUUUCUUUUUCCAGUACACUGUUUUAUUCCGAGCUGGGACAGUGCACGCAGUUUCUCAGUCUAUAGAAGCCACUCCUGUUGAUUCAUCUGAAAGUUCAUUUGACACAUAUCGUUCACCCCCAAGACCACUUCCAUAUGAUGAUCCUAGAUUCUCCCCUCCUCAGCGUGAUUGGUUAGUGUCAAGGCAUGGACCUUCAUGCCAUUCCCCAGAGGAAUCAGAACCACUGAGGGCAAAUGAUGACGAGGAAAUGGAAACACCAAGUUCAACACAUAAGUCAAGUAAAACAAACUAUGACACAAAAAUGAAAAGAAGCAGCUCUACUCAUGGAGAGAAGCUGCCAACAAAGGAACCUGGAAAUUAUUUCACAUACUUUUCCCCAUCCGCUGAAGAUGAAGAUGUCUGCCCAACUUGUCUUGAAGGUAUUAAUCUACUUGUCAUCAGUAUACUAGAAUGACAUAUGUAGUUAAUAUUACAUAUGCAAUUGUCUUCAUAGAAUACUUAAUGAGAGUCAUGUGUACUGACCAUGAAUGACGUCUGGACUGAUGAAUUUGCUAGUAUCAAACUAAUUUGUUCUGUGCACUGAUUGUAUAAUUGUUACUAGUAGUUGAUAAAUUGAUACUACAGAGUCAAAAUUGUUCCUGAAUUUACGGUCAUGGGUUUCAUUCAGGUUGAUUGAAAAAAAAAACUGACAUCAAAUCUGUUGUUAGCACCAUGAACAAUUUAUCUGCCUAAGAUUUUGUACUAAUUCUUACAUUAUAUCUAUGCAGAUUAUACUUCUGAGAAUCCUAGGAUAGUAAUGCAGUGCUCACAUCAUUUCCACCUUGGCUGUAUUUAUGAGUGGAUGGAAAGAAGUGAAGCAUGCCCUGUUUGUGGAAAGGUAAUUUUGCUUUAGCUCUUCCUUUUUUUUCCUCCUUAUAAUUUUUGUCCAGUUAUAUGCUUUGUUGACUAUGUUUGCUUUUUCUAGGUACUACGUACAACUUUUUAAUGCAGCAUGCAUUUAUUUAAGGAUACCUGAGAUAAUUGCAUUGUACAAUUGAUGGUCAUUUGCACCCUAGUUUUAAGUUUUAACUUCAUAAAUGCGACAUAAGAAUUUGAAUAACCCUGUAAUAUAUUACCAUUAACCUAUAUUUGAUAUUGUAAGGAGGACAUGGUUUAUAAGAUUAGAAUUGAAAGCUCCACCUUGAAAGCAGCCAGCUUCUGAUGAAUAUUAUAUGCGAUAACUUGCCCAUCUAUCUCGUAGAUUUUUUUCAGAAGAUCUUUUUUUUGGCACCCUUAACCUAGCUUUGAGGUUUGUGGACCAUGCGUUGGUUAGUCCACCAAAUACUUGUUUUGUGGACUAACCAAUGCAUGGUUUAGGCUGAUUACUGCAGUAUCCACUUUGCCUUACAUAAGGAUAUGGUGACUGUAAAGCCCCUUAAGGUAGGAGGAUAGGUGACUUAUCACAUAGAUAAUAAUUUAGCUUGGAAAGGGAAUCACAUCUACUUUGGACCGACAAAUAUAAGAAAUGAAUUGUUUUGGGGGAAGAACACUUACCUAAUUGAGAUGCUGACUAUUUGAAUUAAAGAAAAAGUAAAGCAGUUUUGGCAGUAUUAACCUUAAAUAAAAAUGUGUGAAGCUGACCUUUUUUAACUCAGUUUUUAUGCAGUGGUAACCUCCAACUGAUGUAUCUUUAUAGCUGACAGCUGUCGGAAUCUAUUUUGUUUCUCCUUUCCAAACGAUGUUUUCCUUCUAACUCUUGAUUGAUGUUUUGCUUUCUUCUAAUCCUCCGCAGAAAAUGGAGUUUGACGAGACAACAUAAUUGUCAGACUGGCCUGUAUUUCUUGGAUUAACAACCCUCAUGGCAAUCUGAAAGUACAGGUGGUCUAGGCCACCAAAUACUCUGUACAUACACCUUGUAAGUAUUGAAUCAGUAGUGUGAUCCUCAUCGCCUCUGAUAUUCUUGAAAUGUUGGAAGGGCGCACAAAAACAUUCUUUUCUAUUUCUUUGAAAUAGUCAGUAGGGGAAGUUUGCUUCCCCAUGGUUUCUUUGUGUGCCUGCGUUGCUAUGUCUCGGAGGCGCCUUUGAUUGUCCGGUGAUAGUGCCACCUGAAAAAGCUGUAAAUUGAUGAUGGCCUGUGUUGAUAUAAUCAUAUGAAGUUCGAUGAUUAUGGGGAAUCCUCUUUUCUCGCAACGCUUGUUUGGCACCGUGAUCAUGUUUCAUGCUAUUAAAAUUGUACCGGGCUUUCAUCUCUGACAAUAGCAUGCCGUAUUUCCAGCUCCAGUUGUGCUAUCUGUGACCCAAUGUAACAGUGGUGAUUGUUUGGUACAGUCAAAGAUGUUCCUAGCUGAAUUUUGGCUUGCUCUUGAAUGAACUUUUGGCUGCCCAAUUCAGCAAAACUUGAAAAUAGGCGUGCUGUGUCAAGGUGGAUUGUACCAGAUAGAUACAUUAGCUAGUGAAGGGGUUAAUGGUUACCAUUUGUGUUCACAAGAGCAGAGUUUUUCUUUAGUUUAUAUGAAAAAAAAAAAACUGAAAUGGUUAAGAGAAGUAUUUCUUGCCACCUACUACUUCAGCAUGACUAAUAUAAAGUGGAGUAGACAACUUGAAGGAAACAGAGACAUGGUCAUGUAAAUGUUUACAAGUUACAACUGCAUUCCAAGCAUACUAACUCGAAGAAUUAACACCAUCUGAGCAUUUUAUGCCAGUGGCUGAUACAGCCAUCAGAGCCUGCAGAACUAGUUAAGUUUUUUUUUUAAGUAGCUGCAAAUCACACAAGAACACAUCACAACACACAAUACACAGGCAAUCUACACAAAAGCAGGUUUAAAAAUAAUCACGUUAUCUGCUAGAGAGAAAUUUCUCGAGCAGAGGAUUCUUUCUUCUUUUUUUUUCGCAUCACUUGCCGCCGAAGAGGUAGCCGAGCGACGAGCCGCCGCCCGGAGCAGCGUGCACCUUGGUUGACGGCCGAUCCUGCAUAGUCUCACCACAAUCAGUGUUCAACAACAUCAGCAUCCAGAAAUUGUACAUUCAUAUAUCAGAAUCACAAUCUUUAUUUCACUCGAAAGAUUGGAGAAAAUUGGUUCAGAAAAAAAAAUCAUGCCUAGAACAUCAGCAAGUUCCAUUUGCUUUUGCAAAGAAAAAAAGAAUGGAAAUAAUUGCAAAUAAAUUUCAUCAAAAAAGAUGACUGGUUCAUAUAUCAGAAUCACAAUCUCUUUUUUUUUCACCCAAAAAAAAGAUGAGAAUGUUUCAGCAAAAUUCAUGACCGGAGCAUCAUAAAGUUCCACUUGAUCUUGGAAAUUCUGAAAUAAGUUUAGUUUCAUCUAAAAAAAGGUGAGUGUCCAUGUGCAAAUAAAAUUUGGCGGGAACGAAUCAAAUCAAACAUGGAGGCCGACUGAAUCGAGGGAAGGAUGAACAAUGGAGACACUGACCGUGAGGAAGUUGCCGCAAUUCUGGCCCUGCGCCCGGAAGUAGUUGUUGGCCUGGGUGCUUUGUAUCCCCGCGGGGAUCUCCUUCAUCUUCUCCGCUGCCGACGGCGACGCCGCCGCCGCCACCGCCGCCUUCUUCACUGGCGCCGGCGUAGUCUCCUUCUCCGCCGCUGCAGCCGGCUUCGCCUUCGCCGCGGGAGCCGUCUCGCCGCCGCCGAAGAGGUAGCCCAGCGAGCUCUGCCCUCCCCCGCUGCUCACCCCUCUUCCUCUCCCCAUCCUCCCCUUACUCCCUCUACGCUUCGACGGCGAUGAUGCGGCGGCGGCGGCGGCGGAGGAGGAGGAGGAGGAGAAGAGCUUGCUCUGCUCCGGCGGUGGCCAUGGCGCGGCUUCUUAUUUCGGAAGCUCCACUUUUGCACAAAACACCUCGGACAAAAUCCUAAAUUGAGUAUAGCCCACCUCGAGUGGUGGAGAGGAAUGUUUUCGUAAAUAGGGGGAGAUGUAACGGGGUGAUGGUAAAUACGUGUGGAUGCAUCGUGGCCGUCGGAUGGGAGCUUUCUACCCGUCGGCCGUUCGAUCGGACGGUCGGGAAUUGACGGCGCGCGCGUCGGUGGGGAGGGGUUCGCGCGUUCGUGUGUUUGGCGUUUUUUUUUUCCGUUAGGUGACGGGUCGCCGUUAGUGGCGACUAGGAGAGAGAAAGAGACUUCAAAGAGAGAGAAAGAGAGAGUGAUAUGAAAUUUGGUAGUUCAUCCGUCCCAAAAUAUAGUAACUUUUGAUUGGAUGGGAUAUAUCCUAGUACGCUCUUUCCAGAUUCGUAGUACUAGAAUAUAUCACAUCUAACCAAAAGUUGCUAUAUUUUAGGACGAAGGGAGUACUCAAGAUUGGUGCAUUGCUGAUAGGCUUGGAUGAUGAAAUUGGUUGUUGUUCUGAUUUGCUGAUGAUGCACCAAAUAUCUUAACUAUAAAAAACACAGUCGUCCUCUUGUUUCUCUAGGGAAAAAAAAACUACUCCCUCACUUAAAAAGAAAAAGGCUCCAAAAAAAAGCAUGUGAAAAACUGGCAAGAAUGGAACUCAAUUGCAUUUUUAUCUCCUGAUCCCGUUGUAGCUUAUGGGCAUGUAGCUAGUUUUGUAAAAGAAAUAAUUGUAGUGGUUUUCCUUUUUUUGAAAUAGUCAUGGUGUCACCGUGAUCUCUAUUUUUGGAAGCGAAAAAUAAUAUCAUUACUUCCUUGUAACGAUAAUUCUUCUAUAGCCGGCGUAGUAACCGGUCACCCAUCCCUAUUUUUCUCUCAGAGGUGAAAUGAAUCUAAUGAGAAUUGCCAUGUAGUUGGUAGUUGGCUAGAGGACCAAAACGAUGGAAGUUCCAGAAAUUACGUGUUAAGGAUUGGGGUCACUAUGAUCCUAGAAAAUUUGCUUGGCAACCCUUGGUUCAAUAAGUUCGUAAAACCUCUAUUGGAGGAUCAUCUCAUCUAGCAAAAUUUGAUGAAAUAAGGACAUGUUUACUAAGAUAUAUUUGUUUCUGUUUCGUAGAGGAUGACGAUUCAGCAAUAGAAAAAAACAAUGGUCACAGAGGUGACAAUUGUAAAAAUAAUGCAAUUUAUUUUCUUGUCACCAACAAUAGAUGAUCUACUAGUAGUUAUUGUUGUCGACUUCUACAAUGAUUCUUACUGAUCCAGUAAGCCCGUGUCUAUUGCUUUCUUAUAAUUUAAAUAAAUCAAUUUUAAAGCGAUCUUCAUAGCUGUCAUACAACUGUCCUAAAUCUUGACUUUUCUGCUAUGACCAACAUUUUGAACCUAAGGUCUUAGAACAAAACAAUAACGGUUUAUGGUUUAUCUCUUUUUUUUCCCUACACCCUAGACCCCCAAGCUAAUGUUAUAGGCUUUUUCAAGUCACACAAUAGGGUCUGUCCUAAAAUCUCCUGCAGAACUGAAGUUACACAACAAUGCUUAGGCUGUGUUUAGUUCCAUCAAACUUCCAAAAAAUCUGUCACAUCAAAUAUUUGGACACAUACAUAGAACAUUAAAUAUGGAAAAAAAAAGCCAAUUGCACAAUUUGUAUGUAAAUUGCGACACGAAUCUUUUAAGCCUAAUUACGCCAUGAUUUGACAAUGUGAUACUACAGUAAACAUUUGCUAAUGACAAAUUAUAGGUGGAAUCUGUAAUUUAUUUUGUUAGUCUACGUUUAAUACUUCAAAAUUGUGUCCGUAUACUUUAAAAAAAAAUUAGCUCACGAACUAAACACGGUCUAAAUUCUAGAAACAUAAAAACAAACAAAUUCACUGUCAAUGGGCACUAGUACUACUAUAUGCAAGAUAAUGAAGUGUUGGAAUCUUGAGAAAGAUAAUGGCAUCUUGAGAAAAAUAAACAAAUUCUCCUGUCAAUAUCAUGUAAUGGAUUACGGAAUAAAAUGAUACGGCAGGUACAAAAAAUUUCUUGGCUGCAAACACUGGUGAUGCAAGUACUAGCUAGAUUGUGGUUGAAGAAAGCAUCAGCACCAAAGGCGCAGCAACAAGUUGGAGAAAGCAAUAAUCACAAACAAAGAAAAAAAAAGGUUUGGAGAAAGCAAGAAAAGGACAUGGCAUCUGUUGCAAGGGAAUGAAGGAUGGAUGCCAUUGCAACCAGAAGGUUCUCAAAGUUGGGCAGGUUAGGAGCAUAUAAAUCUAGGUUAGAUGGAGGAAUCUGUGGCUUAUUUGAAUUUGAUGGACUGGCUAAUAAUAUACAGGUCAUUAGUUGGUACAAUGUUACUGAACUUUCUGGUAUCUUCAUAGACGGGGACAUAUCAUUUGCAGGCUUUCCAUCACCUGAAAUCUGACAUUCCUACCAUCGGCAAAAUAUGGGUGAACUGGCUUCAGAAAACUGAAAUAAGACCUUCAAUACUGGAUGGUUCAUGUAGUAGUCCACAGGCUGCUCAGGUCAAAAAUGGAUUACUUCAAGUUCAACUAUAUAGUUCACCACAAUUAUUUGCAGAAUAUUGAUAUCAAAGCAAUAGCACCCAACAAACUAUGAUUCAUGUCGAUAUUUCAUUUAGGACACUGACAAUAUAGUUUCACCACAUUUCUUGCCAACAUUGCCAGAUAAUAAAGGCAAAACAGAAAAAUGGCUUAACUCUGGCAGUCUCAAGCAAUUGCUUAUGAGACAAUUUAUUCACAAUAUUCAGUGCAUAGGAAUCAAGUUUAGGAGCCUCAGGAUCAUUUAAAAAGGAGGUAAGGUUGAGGAAAGAUGAAAAUUAAAAAAUAAAAUACAUACAAUUAAAUAAUCACGCAUCAAAAUUGUAAUGCUUCAAUGACAUCUACAAUUACAUGCACUCAUUAGCAACAAUGCAAAAGUUAGGAUUGCAGUGUGGUACUAAAUUAUGGCAAUUCUGAAAUUAGUUCUUGAAAAUCGAUGACAACCCAAUCUGCUUUUGCUGCAACUGCUUCUCUCAUCUGGACACCUGCGUAACAGAUGAACAAGUCUGCUCCUCCAGGCUGCCGAGCCUGCAAGGAGACAAGUAAAUAAAUGAAGAUAUUACUAGAUAGACACAUUUUGUUCAAUGUCAUCUAUAAAGACAGCUCAUUUCUUCUAUUAGAAAGCCAAACUACUGCAGGCGAAUUCACGGGUUAGGUCAAUAUUAAUAUACCACAUAGCCAUAGAAGUGCCAUUCCCAAACUUUACCCUAACUGAAAUAUUGACAGAAGAAAUAACUAUCACUGUAUCACAUGUCAAUGACUUGAACCUUUUCCCUCAAGCAGCACUACUCACUGCUUUAUGGAAUUAUUUGACUUGUGCAAGAAUAGCAGGACUGCAGGAGACCCUGCUACGUUAUAUUUUCUAUCAACACAGAACACAUUCAUUGUUGCCACAAGACAAAUUAACAGUAAUGCUGUUCGAAUGAGGAAUGAGCCAACAGCUCUGUAGUAAUCCUAAAUGCACAUCAAUGUACCACCAAACCUCCAUGCAUUCACUUCUAGCUCGUAUUUGUAACGCAUUUCUUUUUGGUAGAUGCUUACUCUCAUGCUACUUAUUUACACACACUGCCCAAAGGGAGUGCAUAUCUCAGCAAUAUAACAAAUAAAACAGUUAACCGCUUACAUCUUUGACAACAGCCGGUAGCUGGUCUCUUGCCAAAGAAACAUAUUUACAUCGUAUAUAAUAUCCAGGAGCAUUUCAGUUACAUACCUCAAGAUCAGUUGCACCAUCUCCAAUCAUAACAAGUGUCUUAUAACCAUGGUUCUGAACAGAUGAAGAAGAUAAAUAAUCUGGCAAGAAGUGAUAAAUGCAAUACCAAAUGGUACAAAACUAAAUCAAACCUGUCUAAUUUGUUGGACUGCUAGUGCUUUACCCCCACUUCGUGAAGUGGGUUCAGUGGGAUCAAAUCCAGCAUACUCUCCAGAUGUUCCAAAAAGAAGUUGGUUUGCAAUGAUGUUUUCAGGAGGAAUGCCAAGCUCAGAUGCCACAGGCUAGAAAAAAAAGGAAAACAGACAACUGAGGCAACUUAUGGUAUCAAAUGACACAUUAUAACCAUUUGAUCAAAACCCAGUACAUAUUACAUAUGUAAAUUCGUCACACAUAAGAUUCAAGUCAUUCAACACCUCGGAGUGAAAACAGGGUAUAGCUGACAGAUUGUCUAAGAGAAGAAACAUAUCCUUGAUUUUGAUUCAACAAAUAAUAUAGGUAGAAGCUGUAGAAAAUGGUUUAGAUUCAUUUUUUUUAAUAACUGAAAAUGCAUAUCUUGGUGCAGGAUGAGUAUAACAGGAAUAAAAUUUCGUCAGGCAAACUUAACAAUGUUUAGAUAUUCCAGAACCACCAGAAGUGUGACAAUAGAGCAGAAUAAUGUACCUUGAUCAUUUGUCGAAAACCUCCUGACACAAGGAAUACAUCAGUAUUAUUUGCUUUGAGCUUCUUAAUCAAGUCAGCAAUUCCAGGAGAAAUCCUGCAGUUAAAAAGGACAACUUUUUGGUGAUUCUGAGUGGACUAAGAAACAGUGUUUGUAACACAAAAAAUAACAUAAGUUAGACUGUACAGUGCUGAAUAUAUGGUUGAUGAAUUCUAUCCGAGUUUUUUCUGUUAUAAGAGAAAUCUUAGAAUCUCUCUUGUAAACCUAUGAGCAAGUUACGCAAAAGAUCUAUUCUUGUGGUUGCUUGUAUAGAUUAACUGUAUUUAUAAUUUUCUUACCGGUGUAAAAAUAAAAACCCAAUAAAUCUAUUUAUUGUUCCAAAUCACAUUAUGUCUGUUUAGUGACGCAAAAGAAUAAAAUGGAAGGAAAUGGGCAUGUCCAAGAUUUCCAGAAGACGAAUAGCUGAAGUAUUAUAUGACAAAGAUAAAAAAUGCUAGAGAAAAGUACUGCUAAUUAAAUAAGUCAGGACUCAAAUAAGUUUACCUUGGAGGCCUCUUCACUAAACAGUCAUCAACUUGGGACAGAUAUGGCUUAAUUAACGAUAGCCUGGCAGCUAGUGCCUCCUCAAAUGGAACAGUUCCUGUCAUUGCCCUAAGAAUAUUAAACCAAUGAGCAUCCUGAAUGAAUUUUAUGCACUAAGCAACAAACACACUUCAAAACUAAUGUUCAUAACAUGUUAUUUACUUUGCAGUCCACUCAGCAACAGCCUUCCCAGCCCCACAGAAAUCAGCGAGUUCAUCAAUACCCUCAUCCAAGCAGACCGUGCUAUCAACAUCAAAACACACUGCAUCGGCAUUGCACCAUGUCUCAAGAACCCCUAACAGAAUCAUGCAAGGACAAAAGUUAUAUUAAAUUUAGAACUGGAGACAGUGCAACCCGCAGAGGCAUAUCAAUCAAUUUAAUAAGAUGGAGUUCUCAGCAACAACCUUUGGAAGGCUGGCGAUUGGCAAAGUCAGCAGAAGGGGCUUCCUUCGAGACCUCCAUAGCUGCUACUACUACCAGGGGACGAGUCUUGCAAAGUUUAGCAGAAAGAAAUGAUGGGCUUGUACACCUCGUUGCCAAUUGUGAAGCCUGCAGCGGACGAUUCGGAACUGUCUGAGUAACAGACAAGGAAUGGCUCAGACCAGCACGGGCGCUGAUCACACCAGCCAUAUCAUAUGUUCCUGAAAAUAAAAAAUGAAUCACUUAAUCAUCAGAGAAUAGAUAGACAAAUAAGAUUUGACAGACGAAGCUACUUUCCGCGCAAUAAGAAAACCCCCCAAAAUCCCAACUUUUGAAACGGCAGACAAGAAUAAACUCGACCAAUCUGACCAGAACAAAGCCACCAUGUUAUCCCUGCAAGAACAUUGUUAUGGCGGGCGAAAUUUCACUCUCAGGCAAAUCGUCGAACACCUUAAGCGCACACUUGUAAAUUCAUCUAGCAGGGAACACUAAUGAGUCGAUGAGUAGGAGAGGAUAAACAACCUUGGGAGAAUGGAGGGAAGAACAGAGGGAUUAGAAUUGGAACUCACGAUUCGCGAAGCAGCUCGAGCUCGAUGCGAUCCGAAUUCUCUUCCCACCACCACCCCCGUUGGUGGCGCGCACAAAGGGAGAAGAAGGGGAGUGGAGCCCUGCAGGGAAUCAAUGGAAGAGGUAAAGAGGAAUAUGAAGUGUGAACUUCUCACAUAACCCCCUUUCCUUUGUCAAUAUUUUAUCUACUUUAUGAAAUACUCCAGGGCUACCCACUCACUCAUGUAGAAAAAAAUAUAUAGAAAGUAGGUGGAACUGGGCAGCGGCAGAUCGGUGUGGGUAGGGAGGGAAGCUCACCGGCGAGCGGUGGAAGCAGGAGGACGCCGGGCUCGCAGGAUGGGGAUCGGCGCAAGCGGCGGCCGAGGAGACGAAAUUCGAGGCGAAUGCGGCGAAUCCGUCUCGACGGCGGAGGCCGCCGGCUGACGUGGCUCCCAACAGUCUGAAGCGCUCCGCUCACAUCAUGGACUUGCGCGCGCGGGGUGCGGCGUGGGUCCCAACUACAACUGUAACGUCGUCUUCACCUGCACACGCAAGGGCUAGGGCUAGAGCAGUCCAUUAGCGCAUGAUUAAUUAAGUAUUAGCAAUUUUUAAAAAUAAUAUAUCAAUAUGAUUUUUUUAAGUAACUUUUGUAUAGAAUUUUUUUUAAUAAAAAAUGCACCGUUUAGCAUUUUGAAAACGCUUGCGUGCGAAACACAAGGGAGAUAGUUGGGAACACAAGCCGCCGAGCACAGCCUUAGUACCUCUUUUUUUUUUUGAGGAAUCUUAGUACGAAUUACCCAUUGAAAAUUUUUUAAUCCAGUGAUCAGCACUACACAAUUUAUUUGAUUAAUUGUUCUAGACUUAUCAUGAAGUUAGCACAUAAAAACACUAUUGAACAUCAGAAUAUUAGUUUUAGUAAAAGGCAAAGAUAACACCUAAACAAAUGUGAGUACAACACAAGGCUUUAUGUGGUUUGAUAUGAUGAAAUUAUUAUUCACUGUCCGUAUUGAUAUUUAAUGUGUUCAAACUAAUUUUUAGUUGGGGAUACUAAAUUUGUUUUUUUUAAACAACACGCACAAGAUUGUACGAUGUUUCGUAUUGAUAAAACAAGAAAAAAAAUACAAGUCUACAGCUUUGGAGACACAAUAGCCACACCAUACAUUUACAACCAAAGACUCCACUGAAGAACAAACAAAACACGACAUUACAAGGGAAACUUCUAAACGACGUCUUCAAUAAUGUUGUACUAAAUUUGCUUUAAUGCCUUGGGCUCUGGUCGCUGCUGGCGGUUCCCAUCCGGAAAGCGUGGAAAAUGGAGUAAUCCAUUAGCGCGUGAUUAAUUAAGUAUUAGCUAAUUUUUUUUCAAAAAUGGAUCAAUAUGAUUUUUUUAAGCAAUAUUCGUAUAGAAACUUUUUGUAAAAAAAAACGCACCGUUUAGCAGUUUGAAAAGCGUGCACGUGGAAUACGAUGGAGAGGGGUUGGGAACCCAGGUUCUGGACGUACCCUUAGUUUUCUUCAUUUAUGUAUGAACUGGAAAUUCCAAUAUAGCAAAAUUAAGAACCCUCGAAGUAUAUUACCUGCAAAGUUCAAAAGGGUACAAACAACAACCGGAGAGAUCUCAUAAUUUCAAACCUUUCAAGGGCCCAAUCAUAAUUAGUUCGGAGAAGUAACGGUGGUUGGUAGGAACGCAUUUCUACUUACAGCUUUUUGCUCUCACUGUCCCCACCUACGCUGGUAGGGACAGGUGGGCCACAGUUUUAUGGGCCCUACAUGUCAGUACAUUGAAAAAUCUCACCCCUGCAAUCCUCGUAGCAUAACCGCAAGUUGUUUGAGCUGGUCGGAUCGACACGUCAUUGCGCACGUAAGACUCAGACCAACGUGCAUUGUUGUUAGUGCAUUCCCAAUCCAAUGACUAGAAUGGUGUCCAUAGUAUUAAAUAAGUUGCCACCUAUGAUAAAAAAUGAUGUAGCAAGUGAAUAAAUGAGGAAAGAGAAACCAUGUCUUGUAUGAGACAUGGUUUCUACACAAUAUCCAAGACAUCAUGUGAGAUAAGUAGCAUUAAAUUUAAGUAUGGAAUAGUGGUGUUUGCAUUGGAAGAGUAGUGUCUAGUACUAGUUUCUUGAUGAUGUGGAGCUUAUGGAAACUAUGUCUAGUGUUUUGGGUUGGGAAUGGCCUUAGAGCGGGUACAAUAACCGGCGAUAGUACAGCUAUCUCAGCAAAACUAAUGAGCUGGAGGAUAGAGAAGAAAAAAGGUGAUAGGAACGGGCGACUAUUUUGUCGCCAGCUCUACGUGAGCUCCAAGGUGAAAAAGCCUGUAAGGUAGAAAUUUUUAACUUUUAAAAAUGGUCAUGGGUCUACAUGCAGUGAGAUGAAUACUAUGGAAGAUGCUUAUCAGUUGGGUCCCACAGAAAAAAAGAAAUGCUUCUUGGGGGCUGUGAUGUACUAGAUAAUUUACUCUCCAUAUUAACUGUUAGCUGAUGUGGACAUGGAUAUCGCCGGUAGCUGGCGAUACUAUUGAACCUGCUCUUAAUCAUCUACGGAAAAAAAGUUGUUCAGAAAUGAUCACAACUUCACAAAUGUGAUUCACGGUUAAAUUCACCACUACCGCUAUCUUACAAUAACUUUUAACUAUACAUCUUGAUCACGUUAUUUAGAUAUAAAAUCAGCGGUACUCUAUCUCUCUUAAUUUACACGAUUAUAUCGAAUACCAUUAAAAUGAAAAUAGGAUAUACACGUCCAUUUGAUUCUCAAGAUAGAAAAAAAAGUAGGUAUUGAAGUGGUGUGCUUCUUAAUCCUACAUGCAUGAGUCUUUUGAUAGUAUUAUGGAAAAACAAAAGAUUCAUAAAAAAAAUCACACAUCUUGCUAUCUUUCCUAUAAAAUGUUUUUUUUUGGGGGGGCGCUAAAACAAACAUUGCACGUGAUGGCUGAUGAGUUGUGUUGCAUGCUGUACAGUAGGCGUAGACAAAGCUGUGUUUAAUUUUUUUCUCUAAAAAUUUGACAUUACUCAAAAAUUUAAUACCGUGCGCUUAACUCUGACCAAUUUUUACACCUGAUUUUAUCCUAACCUAGUACUAUCAAUCACCUAGUACGCGAUGGUAUUACUCGAGAUUUUCACCUGAUUCCAUUUCUGCAUUUUUGCCGUCACCUUGGACUCGUGUAUUAACUAGUCCAGAACAGAUAUUUUAUCGUAUUACCCAAAACAUAAAUAUUUCGGUUAGAUUUAUAACCGGUACUAAUAGUCCAAGUCUCAGAAACAUCUUUAGUUCCGUGUAGUGUUACCAACCGGUACUAAAAAUACAUAUUUAGUACCGAUAUUUUUAGUACCGGUUGGUAACACCAAUCCGGACGAAACAUAUUUUUUUAAGUACCGGUUGGUGUUGCAACACCCAUCGGUACUAAAGAUGGCUUCAGGAUUAAUUAAAAAGAAAACAUCUCUAUCCAAGUCAGAUGUGUGUAGAAAGUUGGAUUGUAAUGCACGUGAGGGUUAAGGUGAGAGAUCUUAAAUUUGAAUCCCAUAUCCCACAUUUUUUUUUUGACUUUGUAUGUGUCGAGGAGUGAUACUUAUAGACCGGAUAAUUAGGGUAUUGAGGUACGUUGGAAUGAGGAUAUACGUAAUUCGACAUUAAGCAAACAGAAGACAAGGAUUAUACUGGUUCAGGCCCCUUAUUAGGUAGCCAUAGUCCAGUUUAUAUACGUAAUUCGUAAUCGAUGUAUUUGACGAGAUCUCCCGGCGACUUGACUCCGCGUACUCCGGCUUCGUAGGCUGUGGUAGGUGUGUUGGCGAUAAGAUUCGAUGCCUUGCAACCAUCCAAGGGGGUCCCUUUUAUACCGUGCAUCAUCUUGAUCUCCAAGUAAGACUCGGAGAUAUCGGACCUCGUACGAUACAAUAGAAACUCUAUCCACACCGAGUAAUACUUGGUUAGUCACCCGACUCAUGAGGAUACUUUUCAUAAUUCAUAUCAAAUUCCUAUAACACGCACGGAGACAACCUGUGUGCGUGCCGUAUUCGUAUAUUCCAUAAUCAUAGGAUGUGAGAUAUGCCUUAUCCGUAAUUUUGACAGUAGCCCUCGACUUCAACUUAAAUGAAUUCAUGUUGUUAUCCGCGAUUGCUCCUGUCAGCGCCUUGUCGUAUUUGCUUGGUUGAUUCUGGUGUAAGACCGUAGAGACAUGGAGUUAUCGACAACGCUAAAGGGAGUUCAACGGUCUGAAUCAUGAAUUUAAUUUGAAGUCUAAACGACCUCCCGCAACGGGCGCCAUAAAUUUUCUGCGGCAAUAUCUCUCCUUUCCUUUGAAAUACGAACCGUCAAGUAGUGCGUCUAUUUAAGGGGAAUUCGGGAUCCAUUUCAAGGCCGUUUGCCAGGGUGCUUGCAAAUUAAUAGGGGUAAAAAGGUCUGUCACUAAUUUUAAAAGACCAUUAUUUCUUUUUUAUCUAUUUCUUUACCGCAAAUUCGGUUUCACUAACCGCUGUUAAAAACAGGGGCAAACGUUUUAUUCAAUUUAAAAAAGCGACAGUAAAAACGAAAACCUAAAAGGAUAAAAACGAAGGGGCUUGUUUACUUUGAUGCCAUUUUCAAACAUAUUAUUUUUUUUACAAAGUUUGCUAAAAAAAUAUUUACGUUUAGUUUAUUGUCAAAUUUAAUAAAAACAUAACAAAUCCUGCCAAAAUUUAAUAUGAUUUAUUUUACCUACAAUACGAACAGUCCCGAAAUUGUCCAAACAUAGUGAGGCCAAAGUGCAAUCUACCUUUUUUUUUUCUUUCAAUCUCGAUGAGCUCGCCGCGCGGGGCAAUGGCGCCCGACCGCCGGAGGGCUAGCGGCAACGGCGGCGGUUUGCUCGACGGCGUUCAGCGCCGGUACCCGCAUCCCCAUGCCCGCCCGCCCCCCCCACAACCGCAUGGCGAGCGCGGCCCGAUGUGCUGCUGCAGGCAGGCGCGGCAAUGGCGGCCACGGUUCCAGCGGCGGCCGGUCCCGACGACCUCACCGCGUGCGAGGCAGCAGCCGAGAGGUCAGGUCUGUCUCUCCCCCUGCGGCGCCACGUAACGUAUCCCCCAUCACCUCAUCCACCACCCACCAAAACGCCCCCCAAUUUUUACUUGCUCGCCGCAUUGACCAACGACCUAGCUUCUGUUUGGCAGCAGCUUCUCCUCAAAUCCUCUUUUUUCUUUUCCAGACCAAGGCGACAAGUCCAAUUUCUUGGCAAGUUCAGCGAGUUAGCGUGAGGAGAGGAGGUGCGU